CAACACCGAGCUUGGGUGCAUCCAACCACUGCCUUAAGAACCAAGCGCGCAAGUCACGUUAUUCGUAGUCCGGGUGGUGAGCGAGACUUUUAUAACAUUUAACUUUAAACGUGAUAUGAAGAACAUGAGCCAACAUGAGGCCACCGGUGCAAUGGAAGACCUCAUCAUCACAUCUCCUACUAGCAAUCGUGGUGUGUCUAUGUGAUUUGAAUUAGAGGAGGACUUGCACUAGAAAAUCACACCAUCUAUUUCAUACGAAUAACACUAUGUAGCUGGACUCAUAGGGAAAUCCAAAUCCGGGCAACGAACCGAGUCGCCGUGAAAUUGCUUAAAAUAAUAUCCAACCAAUGUACACUCGUUCUCAUUACACAAAUCUGAAAUACGUCACAAAAGGGGAUCUCUCCAAACACAAAGCAGUAAAUACAGUAUAUUGAGUGCAAUGCGACCAUUCUCACACCUAUACAUUAGAGCGGUCACCCCUGAACUAGUAUCUAUGAAUCACGAACGUUCGCGACAGCUGCCUGAAUAUUUAGUAACCAAUCUUGCGUAUCUUAAAAAGCAUUCAAUACAUAUAUUAAUGCGCAAAUAAUAUAAACUUAUGGCACAUAAAUGACGUCUGAAAGCACCAUGUUUACAAUAGAACUUGAAGCAAAACGGAGAGAAAUAGUGAUCACAAAUAAACAUAAAUAGUUAGGUAGGUUAUGUUGGUAUAUGUGAAAUCUAUUCUCACUUUAUUCCAACGGCUACGAAACAUAAUAUCACAAAUUAAAGCAUGGAGCUAUAAAAAUGCACUAAUAUAUAAUGCGAUCUAAUUAUAACUCUCCCAAAGAACUAUAAUAUUUCGACGUCGGAAUAAUAACUACACGAGAUUAUCCCAAUGACAACAUCAAUACAAAAAAGUUUAAUUACCCGAAAUAUAACUACAUUAACUCUAUAGCAAUUCUUUCUAUCCAGAAAUAACUAACAGAGAAAUUCCUACUACAAACAUCAACUGAAUUAUGACCCACCCCCCCCCCAGAGCGAGGAUCCGGACCCACAAUCCUGUUGUACAAUCGAUAAGAAGCGGUUAUUAAUAUCUGCGACAUAAAUUUCAAUCAUAAAUGUUCUCAUCAUAACUUGAUCAAUUUCCCAUAAAACAAUAGCUUGCAUAUGUCUUCUAAUUAAAUAUCACCAUUUCUCAUGGUUUUAUGGUAUAUGGAACCGACUAUAGAAUCUAACGUUUCGUUAGAUUGCCUACGUACCCCUAACAAAGGAUCAAGGGAAACCAUUUGACCUAUUUCGCACUUAGUUACAAUCACAAAAAGCAUUUGACAACACUAAUAAUUAUAAUGCAAUAACCAAGUAAAUAUAAUAAUCACAUAGAAUUGAGUUAGGAAAUUAUAAAAUCAUUAUAUAUAUAUAUAUAUACAACACACACAUGAUAUGUAACCAGUGAGAAAGAAACAAUCAACUAACCACCUGAUGGAACUCAAUACUUAGAGCAUAAUCAGUACACCCACUACCUACCACUGUCACAUAAACCACUAAUCACUGACAACAUCGUUCGACUCUCUGUGGUCCACCUGUCCCAAAAUUCUGGCGAGAGAUAAAAACAACACACCCAAUCAAACUAGGCAACCUUUGAAACACCCGCACGACAACCCUACGAAAAUGAUAAUAUUGUACCUCAAUAAAUCCGACUAUGAAAGCUCCAUUCAAUGAUUGGGCAUUGUUCUCUGCCUAAAAGGGAGUCUAUUGGUGGUGGCAAUUGGAAGAAAUCAUUUCCCAAUUGAUGAAUUUUGGGCAAGGUCUCCCCCAUCACCCAUCACUAUUUUUGUACCAAAAUACUAUCAAAUUCCCUCUAAUUUUUGGUGGAACAAGAAGAGAAAGGGCCAAGGUGAUGAUUGGGAGCAGUUUAUAGGUCCAAUUUGUCGGAAAAUUGGACGAGAAACGGCGAGGAGCCGCCGGUUUAAGGAAACAGGUUAAGGAAGACCCGUUUGGGUUCCCUCCUUUUCUUCUUCUCUCCUUUCCUCCUGCUCUCCUUCCCUUUGGUCCUCCUUUCUCCUCCCUAUUUCCUCGAUUGGUCUCCCCUUUUUCUUCCAUUUUCUCCACUCAUUUGUUGCCCUCAGGCAGCCCCUCCUUCCUCCCUUUUUCUGCCACACACACACCCAUACACCAUGCAUAUAUUUCACUUUGCAUUAAUAAUAAUAAAAACAUAGUGUAAAAAUAAUUAAAAUAAUAUUUCAUUCCAAAUACCUUUGGGUUCGUAGCUCAAUAAAACUUUAACUGUAACUCCAAAAUCACUUCUACAUGUGCCUACCCAUCCUUAAGAUCGAGCUCUAUCCGAAUAUGUCAAGAAGAUGAGUCUCGCAUGACACGACGCGGUAGUCAACACAAGUCAACACUUUGCCUCGAAAGGCAUCUUCAUAAACUCACGUAUUAAAAUUAUAAAAUCAUCAUUUUUAGGGACGGGCUGUUACACACACACACACAUGGGUACGUUCAUCAAAACCAACCAAAAAAUUAUUGUACCAAAACAUAGGUACAUUUAAAAAAAAAAAAGAUAUUAGACUUAAUAACAUUAUUAAAUUUCUUCUAUUAAACUUGACAUGGAUAUAUCCUCAAAUAAAUAGAAUGUACCCAUAUAAGUAUAAAAAAAAUGGAUUAGAGAAAAGAUUGAAUGGAUUUUAUAUAAAAAAAAUAGGUACAUUUUAUAUUAAAAAAAGAGUACAUUUUUCACAUGACAAAUUGAUAUAUUUAAGAAUGGGUACAUAUAUGAUUCAAAAAUUGAAAUUUUUUUAUAAAAAUUUAAUAGGUACAAACUUAUUCUAAUUUUAUUUUUUAUAUUUUGGAAAUGUUUGAAUUGAAAAUUAAUUAGGAGUUUAAUAAGGGUGUGAGUAUUAAAACUCUAAAUUAAUUACUAAUUUUUAUUAUAAAAAUUAUGUAACUUACAUGUAAUUCAUUAAUAUAUUAAUGUCAAAGAUUUUAAUCAAAAUCUAAAAAAUGAUAAGGUCUUAGUCAAUGAAUAUUAGAAAAUAGGGACCGGAUACUAAUUUUUCCAUUUUAUAAUUCCACUAUAUUUAUUUAUUUUUUAUUGAAAAAGAGAUCAGUUGGUGACUUUGUCAUGGCAGUUCACCCUUUCGGCGAUCGGAAAAACUCACAUAGCCAUUUCAGCUUUCCACUAACCACCAUCGUGCGAUUUACUAGCCUCAUAAACCAACCAGAAUGUGUGGGAAUGUAUGCUUGAAAUUCAUUCUAACCACUAGACCACCCCGUAAUGGUUAUUCCAUUAUAUUGAAACAUAGCUCUUUGUUUGAUUUAUUAACCUGGAAAGCCAACAUGUCCAUGCAUAUAUUACAUUAUCAUAUCAGUUAUAUUUUGAUACUAAAGACCUAUUAGAUUUAAAUCAUUUUGGACAUAAUCAGGCUAUUCAACAAGUAGCUUCAUCUAUUUAUUUUUUUUCACUUUUGAUGAAAAAAAAAAAGGUUGAGAUUUAGUUCAAUUUGAACUAGUUUAUUUUGUUGAGAAUGAAUUUCACGUAUAUGAAAUGAGAGAUUUUGCAUGUGUUUAUAACAGAUUGGACUACUCCCUAUAUUUCCAAUUGUUUUUAUGGUGGAACCCAAUUUUUUUCAUGGUAUCAGAGCCAGGUCAUCUCACGUGUGAAGUCUCACGGCCACACGCAUUACACAUUACCCAAGUUGUGUUGUCCACGUAUUAUAAGAGAUUUGAACACUCCUCAUAUUAAUAAGUAAUUUUAUAAUAGAACUUCAACUUUUUCACAUUUAUAAAAUAAAAAUUCCAGGAAAGAAUUUCCGCAACAAAUAUAUAUAUAUUCUACCUUGAUGAUUGCAAACUCCCAAUUUAAUACGUUCAAAUAAGAGCUUUUUAAACGCUUUUUGAACACAAUAACACUUUAUAUUCCAUCAAAUAUCAUUGCGCAACAAGAGAUGUAUCUAUUUGAUAGAGACCUAUUUUGAUAUGAUAAGAAAAAUAAAUACAUGAAUAUAUUCAUAUGAAAACAUCAAUCCCAGAGAUUUUAUUAAUUAUGAAUAUAAUUCUUCCACUCCCUCCAUGGAACAACUUUGUAGAAGAGACAGAAUCAGUGUGGGUCACGUCCUCCACUCCCUUCAAUAACCUUGGCCUUUUACACUCCCAAAACCCUACAUAUAAAGCUCAACGUUUUGAUUAGACAGUUGUGGGGAUGCAAUUAACUUUCAUUUCCUUUAUUAAAUUAAAUUAGCUAGUAUCCCACUAAUUUCAAAAUGCUUAUAUAUACCACUUCAAGCAUGAGAUGUGCCAACAGUGGAUAUAAUUUUAGGGUAAAUUACAUAGUAACCCCUCAGGUUUGAGGUCUAUUACAACCUCAUACAAUAUCUUUAAAACAUUUCACUUUCAUACCUCACGUACUGUUUUAUUUCAAAACAAUACCUCUGUUGCAUUUUUCAUCCAUUGAUCCGUUAAGUGCUGACGUGGCUGCCAAAUGUAUGCCACGUGGCAAAAAAAAAUUCUAAUAUUUUUUUUUAACACUAAAUUUUCUUAAAAAAAAAGGAACAAAAGCUGAAACAAAUGCCUGCAACCCCCCAAACCCAAGAAGAAAAAAACCACCCCACCUCCCUACCAAUUAUUCCCCCCACCCUCCCCUCCCCUUCCCCCCUCCUGCUAUCAUGACUGACCCCCACCCUCCCCCUCCUCCCGUGGCUAACCUCACCAAUUAUUCCCCCCACACUAAGAAACCCACAUCUCUCCCUCUCCACCCACCCUCUUCCCUCAUCUACACACUCCACUCCUUAAAUCCAACACUCAUUCCUCUCAUCUUCACUUCAUGAACCCGGUGUAAACGAGAUCUGAGUUUUUUUUUUGUUUUUCUCUGGGUUGCAGGUGGGGGGUCGGGGGAAGAAGAUGAAGAUGGGGGAGAAGAGAGGGGAGGAGGAGGGGGAAAGACGAACUGAAGAGGUUUUUUAUUUUUUUAUUUUUUGGGUUGCAAGGGGAAGAAAAUGAAGAUGGGGGAAAAGACAAGAGGAGGAGGAGGAGGAGGGGUGGGUAAGACGAACUGAAGGACUUUUUUUUUUCUUUAUGGGUUGCAGGGGGAAGAAGAUGAAGAUGGGGAAGAAAAGAUGAGAUGAGGAGAAGGGGGCAUAAGGUUUAUGGGUUUGGGGGUUGCGGGGAGAAGAGAGGAGGAAGAGGGGGAUAAGGUUUCAGCUUUUGUUUUUGGUUUUUUUUUUUUUUUAAUUUAGAAGAUUCAGGUUUUUUUUUUAAAUUAAAAAAAAAAUUUGCCACAUGGCACAGAUUUGGCAGCCACGUCAACGCUUAACAAAUCAAUAGAUGGAAAAUGUAACAAAUGUAUUAUUUUGAAAUAAAACAAUAGUGAGGUAUUAAAGUGAAAUGUUUUAAAGAUGUUGUAUGAAGUUGUAAUAUAUCUCAAACCUGAGGGGUUACUAUGUAAUUUAUCCAUAAUUUUAAGAAAUUAAUUUGGAUCCUCAAUAGGUGAGGAGUUCCUCCUUAAUGCUUCGUUAUUGAUAUACGAAAUUUGGUACUUAUGAUCAUAAUCAUUUAUAUUAUAAAUCACAUUAAAAAUACCAUAUAUGCAAAAAAAAAAAAAAAAUUAAAAAAAUGAGAUCGUUGGGUCAUUGAACUGUGUAAAAAUAAUGGUCAGAUGGUAUAAAAAAGCAUUAUGAACCGUUUAUCUAUUUACUACAUUUGAUUUUUUGCAUAAAUGAUCUUUAAUUACAUAGUAAUUUAUAAUAUGAAUGGUUGUAUUUAUAAAUACAAAAUUUUGUAAAUCAGUAACAAAGCAUCUUAAAGAUUCCUACUUAAUUUUAAAGGACAUUUUGGAUGCAGUCUCUAACUACUAAUGUUCUUUGACUCAAACCUUGGUAGUUUUUAAUUUUUUAUCGAAGUUCCUGACAUUAAUGUAAUAGUGUAUUUCUAUGUAGGUUAUUAUAUUUUUAAAUUAAAAAUAAAAUUUUUAGUUAUUUAUAUUAAUGAGAUUUUAAAUAAAACCCAUAAUUUAUGAGAUUAAAAAUAUUAAAGAUGAAUUAUGCUCUCCAAUAUUUUGUGUGUGUGUGUGUGGGUACAUUCAUUAAAAUGAACCAAAAAAUUAUUGUACUAAAGCAUGGGUACAUUUUGCAAAGGCACAAAAAAAUAUAUAUAUUAGACUUAAUAACAUUAUUAAAUAUAUUUUGUUAAACUUGACAUGGAUACAUUCUCAAAUCAACGAAAUAGAAUGUACCCAUAUAAGUUUAAAAAAUGGAUUAGAGAAAAUAUUGAAUGAAAUUUUAUAUAUAGAAUGGGUACAUUUUUUACAAAUUGGUAUAUUUAAGAAUGGAUACAUAUAAGAUUAAAAAAUUUAAUGGUUACAAACUUAUUCUAUUUUUUUAUAUUUGGGAAUGGUUGAAUUGAAAAUUAAUUAGGAGCUUAAUAAGGGUGUGAGUAUUAAAACUCUAAAUCAAUUACUAAUUUUUUUUUAUAAAAAUUAUGUAACUUACAUGUAUUAAUAUAUGAAUACUAGAGAAUUUGAUCAAAAUUUAAAAACUGAUAAGAUCUUAAUCAAUGAAUAUUAGAAACUAAAAACAAGAAACUAAUUUUUCCUAUUUUUAAGGAGCCAAGCUUUCCUCUAAUUUCAAAAGGGUAUGCAACUAUAUAGGGGAUUAUCUGAAAGAUGCUUAUUCCCUAGAAAACAACUAGCUAGCUGAUAGCUCUGAGAUGAUACUAAACCAAUCAUUUAAUGUACAUGAAUGAUUUGCAAUAACCUCACUAAUAAAACAGAUAUUAUAUAAAAUGUAACAUCAAAUAAUUUGGAUGGAAUUGGAACUAAUGAUCUAGUAUAAUUAGCUUAUGCACAAAAUUAUAUAGUACUACUGUUCUGUAUUGUUUUUUCCUCAUCUCUUUUUCUGUGUGAUUAGAUUCGUUUUCUUUUGUAGUGACCAAAAUAUCAAGUGCUACAGUAGCCAGGAGCAUUUAAACUUUUUUUCUCCAUAGGGUUACUGUGCCUCUGGGAUGCAUAUCAUAUGACAUUUGUUUGUGUGAAAGAACCUUUGAGUGGUCAAUUAUAUAUGCGGUUUUGAAUAUGAAGGUUUAAUUUUUAUAUGCUUUCACUCGAAUCAAAUGAAAUAAUGCUUUGGCUACGUAACUUCUAUAAUUUUCUCAAUUUAAACAAACUGAAUUUUUAAAUGACGUUAAGUGUACUGCAUCGGCCUCUAACAAAAACAUUAUAAGCACAUAGAGCAAAGGUUAUUGGUGGAGUCGAGUUAUGCUCAACCUAUACAUAGAUAAGCUUGUUGUGUGUAUGUUAAGACAACACUAAUUAAGGCUAAUGACUAUUUAGCCCAAUAAGAUUCUCUUAACAUGCAAAACUUGUCAAAACUCUUCAUUAAGAAAACGAAAAAGAAAAGGAAAAGAAACCUUGCGAUCGAGGAAUUGCCACCAUUCUUUAAAACCAAUCUCUUUUGAGUUCAAACAAAAUAAAAUGUCACUAAUGAUCUAACCUUCCAUUUUGGCACAAUGUUCUUGUCAUUUACUAUUUAUGAAAAGUAGAAAAGAGAAAUAAAAAUUAAGAUCACCAAAUCUUAAUUACUAUUACUAAUAGCCUAGGGGAAUCACCUUUCUACAACAAUGGCUUCUUUUCAAUUUCUUAGUACAAGAAUUGCUUUCAUGACAUGCUCAAGCUGUCCACAUUGAUUAGGAUUCAAAUUAACAUCAUCACAAUUAUCUCCACAACAUUUCCUCAAGAGAACAAUUGCACAAUAUGCAAACCGCCCCACCAAUGUUUUGCUUUGACAAACAACAAAAACCCCACAAGGGAUUUGACUAAUUUCAGGAGUCUUAACCAAAGAAAAAACCAAAAACUCUUCUAAUUAGUGGAUGACACACCCCACCAAAGUUUUACUUGCUAAUUAUUCAACAAGAAUGCCUUAAUAAAGGCUAUAAUAAAAGGCACAUUAGUGGGGAAAGGAGGCUCUUAUCAAAACACCUGAAAAUUGCUUGUUUGCCAAGAUGUGAGAAAGUAAAAAAAAAAAAAAAAAAGAAAAGGAAGAUAGUAGUGCGCUAGCCCACCGUAUAGGCUGUAGGACUUGAAGUUUGUUAUUUAAAGUAAAAAGGAAGUCACAAAUUAAAAAGGGAAGCCGACAUAAGUUUUACAAAACUAAACCAUGACUUGGAAUGACGAGAUCAAGUAUUUUGUACUUAUUUUGUGUGUGGUAUCUAUCAUUAAUUGACACGUGAUUAAUUUAUAAUAAUAAAAUUAAGGAGUGUUAAAUUUAUUAACACGUAUCAGCCAAUAAUAAAGAUCACAGAGAGACCACGUACAAAAUAAGUGCAGAAGAUUUGAAUUGUGUAAUUUCAUCCAAUGUUUUCAUGUAUGAUUCAUAACAUCUUUCAGAUUGAAUUGUUCUAUUUUAUUUAGCGAAGUUUUGGUAGUUGGGAUUAAGGUUUUGUCGAGAUUAUAGCAAAUAUUUUGCUUUCUAAUGACCACAAAGACAACAAGCCCAUAAAUUUAAUGAGUACCUAAUCUAGGGUAUAUUACUUGAUUGGCCCAAAUAUAUAUUGGAUACCAAGUUCCUACAUAUGCUUAAGGCUCAAACCAUGACUCUGGCAAAAAUUGAGGUAGUGGAUUCACGUAUGUUUAUAUUCAUCCAAAGCCCAUAACAUGAGAUUGAGAAUUCUUUUGUUCAUUUUGGAAAUAUCAAGAAACCCAACAAUUUUCUUUUGACAAAUAACAACCAGUCUUUAUUUUUUUUUGUAACUUCAAAAAGCCAAUGUUGCUAGGAAAUUUGGAAAAGAGUAAUGCUUGGGACACUAAUUUUUUUAAACCAAAUGAUGUGUCACUAAUAAGAAACAAGCACAUUAAUCGACACUUGGUUAAUAAUUUAAUCAUCUCCAACCACAUCAUUUAGUUUGCAAAUUUGAUUUAAAAAAUUUGGUCUCCCUAACAUUAUUCUUUGGGAAAAUGUAGUUUUUAGGGGCUCAAAACACUUUUGUCCUCCAUUUUAAUUUUUCUAGAAUUGUCAAGUUUUACGCUGGAACAACUUAACUAACCCUAUGACAAUUCUAGAAAAAUGGAAACCAAGAAAAUAGUUUAAUAUUUGAAUCACAUUAUUGCUAACUCAUUGCGAGGCUUAGCCCAUCCCUUCCUCUUUAGUGUAGAUAAUAUCGUUUGUUUACAACAUGCAAAUAUAAAACUUGGGAGAGUCUCGAGUUUUUUCUUCUUCUAAAUUUCUCAAUUUUACUCGGCGCAAGGUGAAUUAGGUUCGUUCCCUUGGAGUAGAGGAACAUAAAAUAUAGAUACCUAUAUCAAGAAGAAAAAUAUUAUUAGCAUUUUAGCAAGGUUGUCUCUGAGAUUUUAGAAGCUUUGUGCGGAAUUUAUAAAAGGGCCCCUUUAAGAUAGUUUUUUUUUAAUUUUAUUUAUUUUUUAUUUAUUUUUGAAAGUAAGAUAAUGUAUUGAUGCUAGAAAGCAAUAACUUAAAUUAAAACAAACUUUAGGACUCACUAAUUGUAAGUUUACAAACGUCAUUAAAUAAUAAGUAAAAAGAGUUACAAAUAUACCUUUACUAAAUAAUCAAAAGUAGUCAAAUCUUAAACAACCAAACAAGAAAUAAAACUUCAAAAACUCUAACUUUGAAGUUUCACUUGAAUAUAUAGCAUUUAUAAUAUAAUAAAAUUGAAAAGAAAAAAAGCGUUUUAUAGGGUGUUAUACUGCACUCCAAAUUUUAUAAUUAAAAAAAAACAAUUUACAUUUAUAAAGAAUGUACAAUGAGAUUUUAAAAUGCUAAUGAAAAUAAAUUUUUUAAUAUAUAGCAUUAUUACAUAUAAAUAUUAAAUGAUAAUUUUUUUUGGAAGCCCUUCAAAUUUAAGAGUCCAUAUUUUCUGCACCCAAAUCCCUAUGACUCCUCCGUGACCCAUUUAAAUAUGCAACAUGUGUUCAGGCACUCACUAAUAUUAACUCUGUUAAUAUUUCAGUUAGCAUUAACCCCUGUUAUCUGCUAAAAUUAUCAAUCUCCCUCUGUAAGUAAUUUGUUCUUAUUUUAUACGUGAAUGGAUUGACAUAGAUGCAGCUUUUGUUUAUGGUUUUAUUUUUUUUCACGGCCUUUGCCCAGAUUUUGGUCUUGAUUAAACUAAUCCAAGCUGGAUUUCAAAAUUCUCAAUCUUCAUGUCCAAACACUGAACCAUGGAGCCUGGAUUUUGAUCUUGAUAAUUAUGGAAGCCGAAGCGAGGGAGAAGGCGAGUUGCGACAGAGGGAAUUGGAAGAGUCCAAGCGUCAUUUGCAUUUUGCAAUUAUUUUCUCAAAAAAUUUAGCAGAUAAAAGAGGAGAUAACAUGGGUUAAUGCUAACUGAAAAAUUAACAUAGUUAAUAUUAGUAAGUGGUGGACACGUGUCGCAUAUUUAGAGGGGCCACAAGAGUGUUUGAGUGCAGAAAAUUUGAACUUCAGAUGAUUAGAAGACCUUUCGUUCCCCGAAAACCGACUAUAUUUUUUAGACCUAUAUUAUCAAGCAAAUGCAAAAACAAUAUGAAAAGAAAACAGUGAUUAUAAUAGGCUUCGUCAAAGACCAUCACGCUAUAAGAAUCCUUCACUUGGCCAAGCACUGGUUGACUUUUGAUCUCUACGUUGUCCUAACAUACAUCGAUCCUUAUAAAAUUCAUGCCAUAGUUUACAUAGUAAACAAUCAAAUAAAAGUCAUGUCACGUCAUCUUUAUUUCUUGACAUUUAACCGAAAGUAUAUCUCCAAAGUAAUUAACUAUAUUUAAACAAGAAAAAAGAAUUACAUGGGUUUAAUGUACCUUGUGACAAGUAGAAGACAUCAAAAGACAACACCAAACAUAGAAUCCAAAUUCCCUGAUAUUAUCAAAGUUUUCAUCUUUCUUUCUUUGUGUUUGUCCCACUAUUAUUGGGGGGAGUUGGUGGUGGGAUUUGGCCCAAAAGAAACGUUUUAGAAACUUUUGCAAAACAAAGAUUGUACGUAAUGAUAUAACAUACUUUCUUUGACAAUCUCGAUUAACUUAUAAACUUGGUAAAUGAAAUUAAGACCAAAUAAGUUCUUGCCAAAACUAACGUGUGCAUCAAAUUCACGUUACUUAUUCACAAGCUAACGUGGACACCAAUUCACAUUACUUUUCUGAAUAUGGAAAGGGACAUGAGAACAAACAGAAGAGAAAAUAACUGGUGAAAGCCACCAAAAAUUAAUGAGAGAAGAAGACGACGACAUGCAACUCCUACUAAACCCUAAUAAAUGGGGGCAGUUGGUUGUUUAGUUUGAAAUGAUUAAAAUCGCAAGUAGUAGAGAUUGCCCCAUUCCUCUAAGAAAAGAUAUAAUAUUUGUUUUUUUUUUGUUAAACGAUAGAUUUUGUUAGAUUAGAUGUUAGAUUAACCACUGACCGGGUUUGAACCCACGUCGUUAUACAAGAACUCAAGACAUUUUCAUUACUGGUGUAAAGGGCCACUUGCGACAUAAUGUUUGUGUGCAGUGGUAACAAUAUAUAUACUACACAUUUUCUAAAGAGUACUUGAUAAGUUUGCAUUAAUUUUAAGUAUUAACAAAUAAAACACGUAAUUCAAUAUUAAUAGAUUAUAAACCUGUAUGAAAGUGGUUUAAAAAUAAUCUAAAGCGUUUUCAGCUCCCAAUAUAAACGUUUUUAAAUGGCAAGAAAGUUCAAAAAAAAUUUGUUUAAAAAAUCACUUAAAUUGUUUUAUUUUAAAAGUAAAAUUUUUAUUAAAUUUUUUAACAUGAUCUAAUUAAAAAGUUUAACACUUUUACGUAAACUGAUCCUAUAAUGGCUAUGGAUCUGCUGUCUCCAACUACGUGUCUUUUUUGUGUUUCCUUUAUAUUUUUAUGACAUGUGUCCUUUAACUUAACCAAAACUUAACACUGUUAAAUUUUAUUAUUUUGUGUUGAAUAAAAAAAUUAGACCAGUUAUAUUAUCUCUUCCCCCAUCUUCUUACCGACGACCAAGGUACCCACCCUUCGCCAUCUUCUCAUCGACGCCCCGGCGUCCCUCCAUCUCCUCCUCUUCCUUCGUCUCCCUUUGCUCCUACAUCCUUCUCAAUUUUAGCCCAAACAAUUGCUCUCUCCAACUAAAAUCAAUGACACCGACUCCAAUUUGAAGGCCUACAUACCUGACUAUAUGAAUCCCUACUGGAUCCAUUACAGAGCGGAACUUACAAUUGUUGACCUUCAUCGCCAGAUUCAAGGUGGUACAGAUUAUGUAAAGCAUGGUGGUAAGAUCCUUGCUACUAGUAUCGUUGCAUCUGGUGGCUAUGCAGAUGAUUUGGAUAAUUCAAAUUCCUUGAUUAUACAGGCCAAGUAGGAAAUGUGAUGAAUACUGAUUUGGAACCUGAAGAUUAAAAGCUUGAACUGGGAAACCUUGCUUUGAAGAAUAAGUCUGGAUGAAAAGAACGGGGAAAAGAUUGGAAGAAAUCAAGAGCCACACGGAAAAACAGUGAAGAAUUCUAGAUUUAUUAACCGAACAGUCGGUCUGAUUAUUUUGGUUUUUUUUUACUUUUAAAUAUUAAAUAAAAAGUUAACAGAGUUAUAUCUAUGUUAAGUUAAAUGACAUGUGUUAAAAUAUUAACAAAGAGACACAAAAUGAGGCACACAAAAUGAGACAGCAGUGAAGCCUCCUAUAAUACCACCUAAUAGAGUUACAGUGACCUUAAAAUUUUAUCAAAUGUCUGUCAUUGAAUUAACUUAAAGUACAAACCAAUGACCAGUCCAAGCUAUACACCUCUUUGUUUUCAAAGUUUUCACGCACUCACACACUCACAUGUAUAUCCUAUCUUAUACCAAAUUCAUGCGGAUUUUUAUUACAAAUGAUCUUGAAAAUUGAUAAACCAAUUCAAGAUGAUCAUUGAAAUUAAAAAUUGAUCAAUAUAAUCAUUAAAUAUGAAUGCCAUAAAUCAACAUCAUCCAUAUUUAAAGACUACACUAAAUUCAAGCACCCAUGUUUAAAAAUUACAUUACUUAAUUUUCGAUUCAAUUAACAACCAUCUUAAUUAGGUGUGUCGAGACAUCUUGCAAUAAAAAACCAACUCAUAUUGUUUCUUAUUCACUCUCAUGCACUUGCAUUAUCUUGAGGGACAAGGAUUGUCUGCCCUUCAUUUCCGGUGCUCUCUCCGUGCCCACCUGUUUGUGUGAUCACGGUUAAGCCACGUCAACAUUUUAUAUUACUAUUUAUUUUUGUCUUAUUAUAUCUAUAAAAAAAAAUAAUAUAAAAUAUUAACAUACGUGACCACACAAAACAGGAGCGUACGGAGAGCGCACCGGAAGUGGAGGGCAAACAAUCCUUGCCCUAUAUUGAGUCCCUACAUGGCCUGCACGUGUCCCUAGCGACAUCAAUGAAAUAAGGUGAGUGAGCCUAGGGCAGUUGAAGUAAUUAAGGUACUAGUCGACAAUGCAGGUGGAGAGUUACUUAUGGACCCAUCAACUUUCAGUACAUGGUACAUUUUCCUCUAUAAAUGUGGAAUCUAUUUGCUCUUGCUAACACAUUCAGUAGCUCUGAGUUUCUUUCUUCAUCCAUUAGCAUUCUGUUCCAAUAUUUUCAGUCUCAAUGGGGUUCUGUCUUCCUCACAUCCUUGCUUUUCUAACUGUAAGCUUUCUAAUUUUGAAAUAUUACUUUUUGAUUUCAGUUGAUUUGUGUUUGCGUCCGUGAUGGUGCUGAUGAGGGUUCAAAUAUUGUUAAUUUGCAGCUCACACUGGUGGCAUGCCAUGCUGCUCUACCACCUCAACUUUACUGGAACUCUGUCUUGCCAAACUCAAAAAUGCCAAAAGCUAUCAGUGAACUUCUCCAGCCUGCAGGUUAGUAUUAGAGUCUCAGAGAAGCUCAGAUAUUGUGUAUUCCUUAGACAAUAAUUCUAUUUAGACAUACACAAUUAAGAUCACUACUGACACACUCUCUAAUACAGGCGAGUCUAACCAUCGUAUAUAUGUAAAAUGUACAUGUAUUAGAGAGUACAUGUCAAGAAAUGCGUUAUAUAUUCUCUAAAAGUGAUAUAAUCCAUUUGUAAUAGCAACAAUUUAGUAUUAUAAAAGUUGAAGGGAUGGAAUAGCUUAAAUGUUCUCAUUGAUCAAAAUUGGAUUGUGGUCUUGGUAUGUAUAUACACUUAUUUUCUUACAUGUAUGUCACUAAAAGCCACAAUAUAAUAAGUCAAUUUCAAAACAAUCGGUCAACUUUUUAUAAACUUUGCUCCUAGUAUAGUUGACUGAAAUUUCUAAAGCCAUGUCGUUCGUUGAUGCGUUCCUGAUACCUUCAAUAAAUUGACUUCACAAUUGUGCAAAUGUGCCGAUAAACUUUAUGACACUUUUAGCUAUACAAUCUUAUGUUGUUAGAAAAUAUAAUUUGACUUCACAAUUAUGAAUGUGCUGAUAAAUUUGACUUCACUUUUAGUUUUAGAUAUAUGACCUCAACGGCGAAUUCCCAUAUUUUCUAUAUAUGAUCCGAAUAUUCUCACAAAUUUUAGCUUAACAAUUUUGAUGUUCUACCUCUUCUCACCUGUUCUCCAUUAUGUUUGCUAAAAUUUGCAGAUUUCACAGAGGAUAAGAGCACCUCUGUUGUAGUAGGAAAGGGUGGUGUCAACGUUGAUGCAGGAAAAGGAAAGCCCGGAGGCACCCAUGUCGAUGUUGGGAAGGGUACUGGAGUGCAUGUGGAAGCCGGAAAAGGAAAGCCAGGCGGUGGCACUAACGUGAACGUAGGAGGCAAAGGCGGUACUGGGGUGAACACCGGGAAGGGAACCAACGUUGGUGUUGGCAAAGGAGGAGUGUCCGUAAACACAGGGCACAAGGGAAAGCCCGUGUAUGUUGGAGUAAAACCAGGACCAGACCCUUUUAACUACCAGUAUGCAGCCACCGAAACCCAACUCCAUCAAGACCCAAACGUUGCUAUUUUCUUCUUGGAGAAAGACAUGCGUCCUGGAACAACAAUGAACUUGCACUUCACCACAAAUUCAAACACGCAAACUUUUGUGCCGCGCGAAACUGCGGAAUCCAUCCCAUUUUCGUCCAACAAGCUGCCAGAAAUCUUCAACCAAUUUUCAGUGAAAUCGGGUUCCGUGGAAGCGGAUAUAAUCAAGGGUACAAUUCAAGAGUGUGAGAAUCCAGCCAUUAGAGGAGAGGAGAAAUAUUGUGCUACCUCUUUGGAGUCCAUGAUUGACUUUAGCACUUCUAAGCUUGGAGGAGGAAAUGUUCGAGCAAUUUCGACAGAAGCCGGAAAAGGAGCUACAUUGCAGAAGUACACAAUAACUUCUGGAGUGAAGAAGUUGGCGGCGGAUAAGUCGGUCGUGUGUCACAAGCAGAACUAUCCCUAUGCUGUCUUUUACUGCCAUGCAACAAAAACAACAAGAGCUUAUGUGGUGCCCCUGAAAGGUGCUGAUGGGGUGAAUGUUAAAGCAGUAGCAGUCUGCCAUACAGACACAUCGGAGUGGAACCCUAAUCAUUUGGCCUUCCAAGUUCUCAAAGUUAAGCCGGGAACUGUUCCGGUCUGCCAUUUCCUUCCCAGUGAUCAUGUUGUCUGGGUUCCAAACCAGAAAUCUACCUGAUUUGACUGAUCAACCCUUGAGUUCUACGUAUGAUGAUGUGAUCAGCUCAAUCAGCAUAGUUUGAGUGGCAAGAGUUUGAAAUUAAAUCGACCGUCGAUUACUUCUUAUUGUCACUAUGUAUUUCAGCCUAUAUAUAUACUCAUAAAUGAAAGCAUACUAUCGUGUGGACUUGUACCAAAAAGCAUGCUAGUGGACAUGCUCUACUACAUUCAGUAAUAGUUAUAUAUGCUUUGAUUCUGUGGUGCCAUCUGUCCACUGGUUCAGUUUUAAAUUGUCGUGCUAUUAUAUGCAUGAUACACGGGUUUCAUCUCCUUUGUCUUAGGAGAGGGAGGGAGUUGAGUACGUUGCAUGUCGAUAAUUAACAAAUUUUGUAUAUACUUAUAAGGAAGUGGAACCUUAAUUUCUUUUACGAUCUAAUCAAAGCAGUUACCCAGGGACUGCCAAGAAGCUAAAAUCCCAAACCAAGGAGGGCACCAGAUAACAAAGGGAAGUUUCAUUUGUACAAAUAAAAAUCCACAAAAAAAUCUCGCCACAAAAGUACAAAUUCAAAAAAAAAAUCAGGCCACUAUUGCAUGCUUCAAAAUUAAAGAAAAUUUCAGGCCACUGCAUGCUCUUGCUUUCCGGGUUUUCCCCACAAAGUUUUCUGUUGACAGGUAGGCCGACAAAAAUAUGAGCGCUUCACACCAGGCAAUGGCAAGGGCUGCAUGUUUUACACCUAAUCCCAACAAAUUUGGUAGUUCACCUUCUUACUUCCCCAUAAAUAUUGAACCCAUAUGCUACUGUUUACCAUAUCUCUCUGAGUUUUCAUGUUUCAUCCAGUAAUUUUCGUUUGUGUUGCAAAAGUUGAGUCUUAAUGGGGUUCCUUCUCUCCAGAAUCUUUGCUUUUCUAACUGUAAGUAAGAGCUGUAAUUUUGAAUCCUCCCUGUUACUAUAGUUAAUUUGAUUGAUCUUAUGUUUUUGCUAAUUUUAUUUUCUUUCUCUCUUACUAAUUGUGCGAGUUUAAUUUCAGCUCACACUGGUGGGUGUCCAUGCUGCUUUACCUUUGUCACCUCAGCUUUACUGGAAUUCCGUCCAGCCAAACUCACCAAUGCCGAAGAUAUCAGUCAACUAGUCCAGACUGGUUAGUAUCUAUGUACAACCUCAGAUUGGCUUCAAAAACUCAUUUCCACAACCAAUCGUCCUUGUGAUUUACACAUGUUUUCACUUUUGCACAAGAAGAAAAAGAGGCAACAACCGCGGAACAAGUUUGGCUGUUGUUACUAGCCUAGCGAUUGCUAAAUACGUGACAAAAAGUUAAAAAAGCGCACCAAAAAGUAAAAAAUUAUGACAUACUGUUUGUCACGCUUCUAGGAAUAGCUACACUAGAAAUAGCACCCUGGCUCCAUAGCUAUUUAUGUUGGUAAAUCCGCAGACUUCAUUACUGUUGGCAAAGGGGGAGUUAUUGUUCAUAACCAAGUUGCAGAUGUUGCAACUAACGUUCAAUAUCUUUACCGGGAUGAUUCAACUGAAGGCAAGAUGCAGAUCAAAAAGUAAAGACAUAAAGAUGCUGCUGAAAAUCCAACACUUGAAGACCCAACUCGAGUAAUUUUCUUCUUGGAGAAGGACAUUCAUCCUGGCACAACAGUGAAUUAUCACUUAUCCGGAAAUUCAACCAGAGAAACUUUCCUGUCCCGCAAGACUGCAGAGUCCAUCCCCUUCGGCUCAAGCAAAUUGGCAGAAAUUCUUAACCGAUUUUCAGUGAAACCGGGGUCUUUGGAAGCCGACAUAAUGAAAGAAACCAUCCAAUAUUGUGAAGGGGUGGCCAUGAGAGCCGAAGAAAAAUAUUGUGGUACCUCUCUAGAGUCGAUGAUUGACUUCACCACCUCCAAGCUUUGAAGAAAUAAUAUUAAAGCAAUCACGACGGAGGUGGAAAAAGGAGCUGCCCCGCUGCAGAAUUACACAAUAACCCCUGGAGUGAAAAAGCUGGCAGGCAACAAACUUAUUGUGUGCCAUAAGAUGAUCUAUCCAUAUGCCGUUUUCUACUGCCAUGCAAUUGAAAAAACAAGGACUUUUAUUGUGCCUCUCAAAGGCGCUGACGGGACGAAUGCUAAAGCAGUAGCAGCCUGCCAUGAAGACACAUCUGAAUGGAGCCCAAAACAUUUUGCCUUCAAAGAGCUCAAUUUUGAGCCAGGAACAACUGAAUCCCAUUUGCCAUUUUCUUAAAAACGAGAAUGUUGGUUGGGUUUCAAAACAAAAACCUACAUGAGUUGAAUCCGCCGCUCGGGUCCUCUACUUGAUUAUGUAGCCCAUCAAUAGGAGUAAUUAGCCCGCUCCAUUAAUAAAAACAAUCGCAUGAGACAGAUGAGCUGUUUAUGUCUGAGACUGCGUACUCACUUCAUAACAUAUUCUUAUUACUCAUUAGCAACGCAAAAUUCCCUCUUGUAAUAGAGACGAAAAAAGUACCACCCCCCCCCCCCUUCCCAAAAUAAAAGCAAAGAAAAAAAAUAGAUGAGUAUAUUUUAUUGUAUCUCUUAAUCUUAUCCUACCUCCCAUAUCAAUAAUUUGAAUGAAAAAAAUAAGAGUAAUGCUAAAGAAACUAAAUUUGAAGAUUAAAAUUGCAAACUAAAUGAUGUAUUACUAAUAGAAAUAAGCACGUCUUUUAAGACUUAAGUAAUAAACCAAUCAUCAAUUUCCAUGUUCUUUAGUUUUCAAAAUUUAGUCUCCAAAUUGAGACUCCCUAGCAUUACUCAAAAAAAAAAAAAAAAUAUCAAUGAAUAUGGAAAAAAAUAUAUAUAAAACGGUUGAUCUCUAUUAAACCUGCUAAUGACCCGAAGCAUAAAGUACUUGCUACCGGUGAAAUAAACACUCGCAUUACUCAAAAAUUAAUAAUAUCAAUGAAUAUGGAAAAAAAAUAUAUAAAACGAUUGAUCUCUAUUAAACAUGCUAAUGACCCGAAGCAUAAAGUACUUGCUACCGGUGCAAUAAACACUCGCAUUUGAAGAACUCCUCUAUUGUAUUUGUAAUACAUAAUGGUAAUAUGUAUAUGAUCAGAUUUGUUUAUGCAUAGUUACCCUACUUCCUCUUGUGGAACUCCAGGUUGAGGAGUUAGGAGAUCUACAAGUUUGCUAAAGUGAACCACUCUAUCACACUGAGGAUUUGUUUGAUAAUGAUUUUGUUUGCAAUCUGGGAGAAGUAGUUACAAAUCUGCUAAAGUGAACCACAACAGUCAAUCACAUGACUAAGGGUUUGUGUGAUAAUCGUUUCGCUUUUUUGUAGUUUUCGCCUUUAGUGCUUGCUAUAUGGGAAAAAAAAAAAAAUAUAUAUAUAUAUAUAUAUAUGGAAAGAAAGAAGGAUGAAGGAAAAAUGGUAUAGUGAAUGUAGAUGAAAUAUACAAGGAAUGAUACACACUAAAAACAAAAAAUUUUAAGUUAUUUUCAUCUUCAAAAUUAUGUUUUCAUUCGUUGUUCUCUAUUUUUGAAUCACAAGUUUGAGUGACCAAAAUAGCCUAAGGGUAUAAAUGACAUUCGCAAAAUAUAGGAUGACUCAUCAUCACUCGGUAAGAAGUUGGUUAGUUGGAUCAAAGGUUAAUGUACCUUAGUUGAUAAGCAAAAUCACGAAGACUAAACUUAAUAAUUGAAACAUAAAUGGUCUUAUUUCUAAUUAUGUGCAAAAUGACUUUUUUAGAGGCGUUGUUUUUCUUUUUUGGACAAAGGUAAUUUUCAUUACCAAAAGAGCACAAUUACAGACAAAGAGGCCCAAAUACAUUGUAAACACAAAACAAAAAGUGAACCCCCAACACUAAACAAAAGCUCAACCCGAGAGAAGGGCCCAAAACAGAAAACCUUACAAGACUAACUUCCUCCGUCGUCGUCAAAGAACCGGCAGCCGACCACAAUCCAACAACCUAGGCCAAAGAUCUCACCAAACACAGCGCCAAAGAAGAAGGCUCCAUCUUCCUCCACCAAACACCACACAAAUUGAAACCGCAACCACCAAAGAAAGAAGCCAGAAGGAAAGAACUUUCCCCUAGCAAAAAAAGCCGAAAACGGCAUACAAUUGGAAGGUGGUGGUGUGUACACCAUAUGAGCAGAAGCUCUGCACACCUUCCUAGAAAACCUCGAAACACAGGUGGAAGAGAUGGUUGCAGAAUUGAACAUGUGUGAGAAUGAUGUAGGACAGAAGCAAAUGGAAAAGUAAAAAAAUGGCUGGAUUAGAGUCAUGGAGGUGGAAAAACUUGAGAGAGAAGAAGAAAAAGGAAGGUUGGAAGUGGGACUGUCAGAUCAAGACUGAUGAAAGGUUAGAGCGGAGGUUGCAUGGGGAUUACCAAAAAAGACGGCCAGAAAAACAUGGAGAAAGCCAAUCUCAUAGCUCGAUGUAUCCAGGACUCAAUCUACUAGUCACUCCAUUAAUGUUGAAUUAAAUACUCCAAUUUAUUUCCACACAAAGAAACAAAUCAGAAACGUAAGAAAAAAUUAAGACCACCGCAUGCUCUGCAUUUUCGGUUUCAUCUGGUAUGGAUUAUUGGAUUUUACUGAUAGAUCCAUGUUUUAAUUUGUGAAAUGUUAAGGAGAUUCUCUCAAAGUGACAUUUUUCAUGGACUUUCUGCCUCCUCAUGGUUUUGACACUAUUUUAUAAUGUUGGCACGAAAAUUUUGCUAAAAACACUAAAUGACGUAGAAUCCACGAAUAGUCUUACUUUUGAGAGAAUUUCCUUACUAUUUCUAAUUGAAUUUGAUUCAAAGUUGGGAAUAAAUGUGGAACAUCACACUAGGCAGUGGAAAGGGGCACAUGUUACACCUUAUUGAUGCACAAAACCGGAGGUCUUGGAACAACGUAAAUCCGAUCGUGAAUCUGCAUGAAAUGUAAAUAACACAAGAUGUAUCGUGGUUCAUCCCAAGGUUUGGGCUACGUCCACACUGAUUAUGUAUUUAUCUGAGAGGUGAGGGAAAGAACCUCUGAAUAUGAUAAGGGACGUGAGAGGGGUGAGAAGGCUUAAGAAAUGGCAUCCCCCAAUUGUGAGGGUGAUGGGUCCUUUUAUAGAAUAAUGACUCCUCACUUAUUACAUAUUUGCCAUUUCCUUUAUCACAUAAUUGCAUUUAAGUCCCCCGAGUAUUUGUACAAGAUCUAAAUACGAGGCCCUAAAUAUGGUAUAAACAGUAGUCCCCCAAGUCUUCGGUCAAUAGAGUCUUUUGGCUGGAGACUUGAAAUUCAGUUCAUGUGUGGGCCGAAGUAACUAGAUGUUGUCUUGAACUGAUGCUCGAUAUGAGGCGGUGCUCCAUCUGAAAUGAUGCUCUACUAGAAGUAGCACAUGCUGCAAGGUUGCUCGGCUCGUGGCUUAUGUUGCCUUGGUUGGCUCGGCUUGUGGCGUUGGGAGGUGAGGGAGUCCAUUUUAUAAAAUAAGGGUUCGCUCCUCAAUACAUAAAUGAUGGGCUAGAGUUGAUACUCGCGGCGAGGUGGUUGCUCAAUAGGCGGCGAUACUCUCUAAUGGUGGUAAGGGAGUCCCUUUUAUAGAAUAAGGGCUCGCUCCUCAAUACAUAAGUGAUGGGUUAGGAGUGAUGCUGGCGGCGUUGCUCUCUAAUGAAGGUGAGGGAGUCCCUUUUAUAAAAUAAGAGCUCGCUUCUCAGUACAUGAAUAAUGGGUGAUCUCUAAUGAAAGUGAGGGAGUCCCUUUUAUAGAAUAAGAGUUCGCUCCUUAAUACAUAAAUAAUGGGCUAAGUCCCCCAAGUAUUUUUCAUGAGGCCCAGUUGAGGCCCAAUAUAUGGUACAUAGUGUAGUUCCCCAAGUCUUCGUUCAAUAGAGUCUGUUGGCUGGAGACUUCAAACUAAAUCCAUAUAUGGGCCAAAAUGGCGGUUGUUCGGAUAUGGUAUUUGUAUACCUUGCACUGAAGCUUUGUAGGUGAAACUUUGCAAACUAGAGCUCUGUAAAUGAAGUUUUUAAAGCUAAUUGACAUAAGUGAUGUUCAUGAAUGUUUAUGUUGAUUGACAUGAGUGAUGCUCAUGGAUGUUGUCAUGAGUGAUGCUCAUGAAUGUUAACAUGAGUGAUGCUCAUAAAUGUUGACAUGAAUGAUGGUCAUGAAUGUUUAUGUAUGAUUGUUAUGAGUGAUGCUCAUGAAUGUUUAUGUAUGAAUGACAUGAGUAAUGCUCAUGUAUAAUUUGGAAUACUAGGCGUACUUUUGAUCACCUGGUUGGUGGCAUGAAGGAGAGUACGAGUUGUAUAUUUCAUCACCUGGUUGGUGGCAUGAAGGAGAGUACAUAUUGUAUAUUUCAUCACCUGGUUGGUGGCAUGAAUGGCUAGUUGCCAAAAUGAUAUUAGAGUACGGGUUCUACAUUUUAUCACCUGGUUGGUGGUAAUAGCGGCAGGUUGCCGAAUAAUUGUGGAGUACUGGGCGUACUUUUGGUCACCUGGUUGGUGGUAAUAGCGGCAGGUUGCCAAAUAAUUGUGGAGUAUUGGGCGUACUUUUGGUCACCUGGUUGGUGGUAAUAGCGGCAAGUUGCCGAAUAAUUGUGGAGUACUAGGCGUACUUUUGAUCACCUGGUUUGUGGUAAUAGUAGCAGGUUGCCGAAUAAUUUUGGAGUACUGGGCGUACUUUUGAUCACCUGGUUGAAGCUAUUUUGGGCUUAUGGGCAUUCGCCCUCCACAACAUGCCAGCCCAUUUAUUUUGGGCUUUUCCGGUUUUUUUUUUUUUUUACCCUCUGAUGGGGUUUAUACAAAUGUCUCUAAAAGAUAAGAAAAAUAAAUUACAUCAUACAUCUGUCAAAAAAGUAAAUCACAUCAUUAUGGGGGGUGUUUAUUCCUUACUUUUGCUUUCUCUGAAAUAUUCUCCCAACGACAUGAUCUUUUUUCUUUUUCUUUUUUGUUCCUUUACCCUGAUCUCUCCACCUCCAGGCACACUCACUUGCUUUUGCUUUCGUUUUUUGAUUUGAUUUUCCUUUUCUGAUCAAGUACCUGACAGCUUGGAAUAUAUUGUAAUCAAGUGACCAGAGAGUAGGACUAGUGGAUACCUCUCUUCUGUUUUUCUUUUCCUUUUGGCAUAAGGUAGACAAAAGUAAUAGUAGUAGACUUAUUAUUGAGAAAGCUUAUCUUCUUCAUGAGUGUCUCCACUGGUGGAUGAGAGGUAGCCUAUGUAAAAGUCUUCUUCUUGGCAAGAUCGCUAGAAGCGCCAGAAGCUUUUGUGGAAGAAUUAGAUGUAGCAGGCUGCGAAAGAAAUAAAUGCAGCAGGCUGCUGUGAGCUCUUAAGCUGCGGGUUGGCGAUAGCAUGGCUGCUACCACCACUUGAAUACGAAAGAGUAAGAUCCAUCUGAACGAAAUUCGCUCAUACCCAAGGCUUCAACAACUCCACUCUUAUCAUCCAUUGAAUUUCGAAGAAGACAAAGCAAAGACUCCCACAUAUUUCUAUUAAGAGAAUCCCCAACAAAAACUAGUCGCUUUCCUCUCAAUAGUCCCAACAUGUUCUUACCAUCUAACCUUGGAAGAUUGCAAUGUUUGAGUUGCCAUCUAUACUUUUCGUAGCAAUUAUCCGGCCUCUUAUUAAGAAAACAAUUGAAGGAUUCAUCAAUAAAAGGAUAAGAACCCGGAGCAUAAAGCGGAUACGAAUCAUCUCUCACCCACAUUCCAUCAAACAUGUCACAAUCAUCCCUCGAAAAUUCAUAACCGGGCUAAGUUUGAUUACUCUGCUUCUUAGAUUCAGACAAUGCCUCACUAGCAUCAUCACUCUCUAUCGAGGUCAAUGCCACUGCUUGCCCCAAAACCCCAUCAGAAUCUUUAGCAAAAGAUUCAUUUUUUCUUGAACCCUCCAGUUUCUCGGAAAAUCCCAUUUUCCCAGUUACUUGAAUCGUAGUGUUCUGGGACGAAGUCUGAUUGGAUUCUUAGGGUAAGAAAAGAAUUGCGUUUGGCAGUUGGGCACUAGCCAUAUCAGACUGCAAACCUCCACUCUCAUCUAAACGUAGGAAAUAUUCAGCUUUCCAGGAAAAUGGGUUUCCCGGGAAAGUUCAAAAGGGGUUUUGAAGAUGUUCUUGAAGCCAAAAGGGAAAGAGUAGCCAAAUGGGUUGAAAACCAGGAAGAAAGUUCAAGCGAUGCAGACGAACGAGAAGCCAUAGGCAAAGGCAGCGGUUUUUCUGGAGGGGAAGAAAAUUGGGGAAGAAAGAGAGGGUUUGGAGAAGGCCUCUGGUCUUGGGAUUGUGGGGGAAUGCUGGUGCUUUGUGGGUUUUGGGGUUGUCUGGGUUUUUGUGAUUUUGCAGAUUCACAGUGGUGAGAUUUGAUGAAAAAAUGAAAGAGAACUGACAUAGUUUUUAUGUCGUUUCCCACAGACGGCACCAAAUGUUGAUGCACAAAACCAGAGGUCUUGGAACAACAUAAAUCCGAUCGUGAAUCUGCAUGAAAUGUAAAUAACACGAGAUGUAUCGUGGUUCACCCCAAGAUUUGGGCUACAUCCACACUGAUUAUGUAUUUAUCUGAGAGGUGAGGGAGAGAACCUCUGAAUAUGAGAGGGGAUGUGAGAGGGGUGAGAAGGCUUAAGAAAUGGCCUCCCCUAAUUGUAAGGGUGAUGGGUCCUUUUAUAGAAUAAGGACUCCUCACUCAUUACAUAUUUGCCCAUUCCUUUAUCACAUAAUUACAUUUAAGUCCCCUGAGUAUUUGUACGAGAUCUAAAUACGAGGCCCUAAAUAUGGUAUAAACACACUUAAUCCCAACAAAUUUGGCACUUUAGUUGACUUCUUCUAUAAAACUUGAACCAUUCUCCUAUUGUUCACCACAAAACCUGAGUUUUCUUGUUUCAUCAUUUUCAAUAGGGUUCCUUCCCUUGAGAAUCUUUGCAUUUUUUACUGUGAGUAAACUGUGUAAAAUUUGAAUUUUCCCAAUAUAUUUGGCUUCGGUCAGGUGAUGUAGUGGCUUUGGUCGAUUAUGAUAACACUACUAAAAACAUUAUAUAUGAUAUAUGUUUUAUGAAAGGUUUUAUGGCAUGAUAGGUUUUCGGAAAACCUAUUACAUUUUUAGUCAAAAUGGUCCCUGAGAUUUGCAUGACACAUCACUUUGAUCCUGGAGAUUGAAAAUCAAUAGAAAUGGUCCCUGAGAUUGUCUACCAUCCAUUAUUUUGGUCAUUCCGUUAAAAACUUCAUUAAGUGUUCUGGAGCUCUUGGCCGAAAGUUUGGACAAUUUUCAAAGUUUCGUAACUUAAUCGUUUAUUAACCAAAUUCAAACCAUGAUACAUCAAAAUGAAGAUAGGAACGUUGAGAAAAAUAUUAUACCUAUUUAGAAGCCCAAUGGUUGUCGUAGAUGGCCGAAAAAUAGCCUGAAAGGUGACUGGUCCACCGGAAAACUGAAAAACUCGUUGGAAACUGGGUAAACUUUAAACGUUCAUAACUUCUUCAAAACUCAACAAAAUCGAGUGAUUCAAAAACAAAAAUCAUACUUCUCGACAAGAAAAAUAGAAUGAUACCUUUCUUGAUGGCUAAAUCAUCGUGCUUUGGCUGAAAAACGGCCCGAAAAUUAUUGUCUUGGUCUCGAGUUAGCCACUUUUAGGCCGUUUACGGACCAAACCACGACGAAUUAGUUAUCGAGAAAGGUACCAUUCUCUUUGUCUCAUCAAUAAUUAUGAUUUUUGUUUUUGAAUCACUCGAUUUCGUUAAAUAUUGAAGAAGUUAUGAACGUUUAAAAUUUACCUAGUUUCCAAUGAGUUUUCCAGUUUUCCUAGGGACCAUUCACAUUUCAAGCUAUUUUCCGGCCAUCUCGGUAACCAUUGGGCUUCCAAAUAGGUAUAAUCUUGUUCUACACUUUCCUAUCUUCAUUUUGAUACAUUAUGGGUCGAAUUUGGUUAAGAAACGAUUUAGUUACGAAGUUUUGAAAAUUGCCCAAACUUCUGGCCAAGAGUUCUGAGACACUUAACGGAGUUUUUAACGGAAUGACCAAAAUAAUGGAUGGUGGACAAUCUCAGGGACCAUUUCUAUUGAUUUUCAAUAUCAGAGACCAUUUUAACUAAAAAACCUACAUAUUAUUACUAUUGAGUUUUCAUAAACUUUGGGGGUUAGUACGUUGAUGAAUAACUGUUUCUGUAUUACUUAUAUAUCAACUUGGUCCACUCAUGUUUUGUUUUGUGCCCCCUCAAGAUUUAGAAUCGAGGCAUACAAUCCUGACGUUAGGGUACUCCCGCAUCGGCAUCUUUAAGUCCUCUCGGUGUAGGACCCAUCCCUUUGUUCAUUCAAUUUUAUAUUAUUCCUUUGUAGUGUCUUGGGUUAGUUAUAUGCUCUGAAUACGUUCCACAAUUGCAUAUUCAUUAUAAUUAAAUUUACAACUUUUAUUUAUGUCAGUUAUUUGUUUUUAGUUCUCAUGCAUCCUUUUAUGGUUUCGUCACCUUCGAGUGUCGGCCAGUACGUGUCUACCCCGAUGUUUGGAGGAUAUCAGGGUCGGGCGUGUCACAUAGGUACAUAAGUAUCGGUUCAUAAGUUUUGGUAACAAUAUAUCGAUACAUAACUUUUAAAACGAAUGUAUCUGUACAAAUGUAUCGGUACGUAACUAUAGUAUUUAAACAUACAUAUGUACGUAAUAUGCAUAUACAUAUAUAUGGAGAAAUUCACGCACAAUAAAAAAAUAUAUGAUAAUAUAUGACUUCUUUUAUUAUGGAAACUUAACAAUAACCAUCAAUGAUAAAUAACAUUUUUAUUAUUUAUGGGAAUCAAUAUAUAACCUACAAACAAAAAAGUCAAUAAUUACUACAACCUAUUUAAUAUUAAAAAAUUAUAAUUAAAUGCCAAGGAUUAGAAUGAUUUUUUAACAAAAUUUAAUGAAAAUGAUUUGAAAAUUUUGAGUUUUACCGAUAAGGACAAAAUAAAGGGUAAAGUGAAUAAUACCAUGAUUGAUUUUUUGGUGUAAAAAUAUGAUUUUUCGUUAAAGUGAAUAGUAUCAUGAGUUUUUUUUGUUAAAGUUACCUAGUUUUUAAUCUUAGACAAGAUUUUAUUCAAAAAGUAAUCUUAGACAAGAUUUUAUUCAAAAAGUAAUCUUAGACAAUGAUUAGAAUAUAAUUUUAAUUUUUUUUUAACAAUCUACUGUGAGAGACAGAGAGAGUAGGCUAAGACUAUAAGAGCUAGUAAUAAUGUAGUUCAAAUUUACUUUUAUAAAAAAUCAAACCUAAAAUUUAUCAUUUAUAAGUGAAAAAAAUAUCACUAAUUGUAGUAUUUAUCUUUUAAACAUUAUACACAUAGGUAACUAUGUACUUUUCCCGUGUGAUACACCAUUGGAAGUGCUUUUCGGAACAGCGUGCAUGUCGCUUUUGAGAUAAGAUCUUGUCCAAAUGUCCAUGGCUUCGUGACAGCUGUGAGAAAGUGACGAUCAACCUACAUGCAAGUUGCUUGAGGGAGCACAAGUGCUCUGCCAACUUUGAGUAACUGACGAUCACAUACGGAAAAUGAUUCCGGAUCAUUUUCUUAGGAAUUCUGUAAUCGUAUAUUAUGUGAUCAGAAAUUAUUUAAAAUUUAAAAUUUAAAAUUCAAAUAUAAAUAGUACAUAACGAAAACUAACUUCAUGAUAUAUGAUGAACAAACAUAAUUACUAUGUAUGAUGAACGAACAUAAUUACUAAAUCCCUUGGAAAAUGAUCAGCCGAGGAUCAUUUUUCCGUCACAUACAUGCAUGUUGGCAGAGCACUUUGAAUUGGGGCCCUAAAUAAGUCUUCGAAUUGGCUCUAAAGUAGUAAAAUGUACUGACACGUGGCGCUUUAUACAUUAAUAUGUAGAAAAAAUUCUGCUAAAUACAUGAAAAAUAUAUGGGUAAAUUACAAAAAAACUACCAUAAUUAUUGAUUUUACGACAUUUUUAUACCUCAUGUCAGAGCUCUGUCAGUUUUUCUGUUACUUUUCUUGUUAAAUGCUGACGUGAACCUCGGCGUCAAUCACAAGAGACUGAAACCGUUUGUAGGGUUUGUAUGGACGACAACGACAAGGAGGCUUGAGCUCACGGCGUCAAUCAUAAGUGUCUUGAGAUUUCAAAAUUGGGGAAAACAGAGAAAAUGAGAUGGAUUAGGAUCUGCAGGUACAUUAGUCGAUCAUCCCCUCUCCAAAGCAUUUCCGGCGACCUGCCAACGGGGACCAGCGGAGUGGCAGCGAUUGAAUAGAAGGACGACGAUGGCGGUGAAGACGGAGACGAACAGCGCGAGGCAAUUGAAGAAACGACAGAGAGUUGGCUCUGCAAUGACGCCAUUGGAGAGAGGGAAACCCUAGGAAGAGAGCUAAGAGAGGAGAAAUGUACUGGUUUUGAAUAGCCUGAUACUACAGUGAGAGGAGAGGAGACACGUGGGUGAUUGAAAGGUGCGAGGGAAGCUCGCGUGUGUUUGAGAUUAGAAUUAGGACAGCUAGUUGUGCGGGAAGUUGAGGAUCGCUUUGGCGCCCCGAAGCUUGAAUGCUGCUCGAUCGUAAGCCUUGGCUGCUUCAAUCGCCGUGUCGAACUGGAUCCACUCAGUUUUGUUGGGAAGCGAGAUUAUGAGUGCUGGCUUUCGGAAUGGGUUAGCGGGUUUAGGUUGCAGGGAAGGGGAAAGAGAAGGAAUAUGGGUUUUGGAUUUGGGUUGCGGGAAAGGGGUCGGGGAAGAUAAGGUGUUUGGUUUUUUGUUUUUUGUUUUGUUUUUUUGUUUUUUUAAGGGUAAAUUAUUAUUUUUAUUAAUUUUUUAAUAAAUUGUGGAAUCCGAAUCAAGCCAUAUCAUCAUUUAACCGAGAAAUUCACAACCAACCCAAUGAAUGUAUAAUGGACCAAAUUUUAGAGAUGUGGUAUGACAUUGUCAAUUUUAAUGGAUAAAGUAUGAUAGUGUAGUGAGACGAGGUAAUUUUUUGUCAUUUACCCCAAAUAUAUUUAUGCAUCAAAUACAAUUAAAAAUUAAUAUAAAAAAAAUCAAAUACAAUUAAAAAUUAAUAUAAAAAAAAUAGAGAUAUACAAGCAACAACUACGCCUGUUCCACUACAUCAGCAUGCUUUCUAUGUCAUGUAUUUGACUUUUAUCCUAUUUAUAAGAGAAAUAAAUAUAUUAAAAAAAAUUUGGAGCCCCAAAAAAUAGGACGUCCUAGGCGGUCGCCUUACUCGGAAGAUUAUGCCGCGUAUCAAAAUAAAACUAAGACAACGUUGUCCACAAAAUAGAAACAUUGGGUUGGGUUUCAGGUCGUCUUCUUAGAAUCGCACGAGGCCCCUCUGAGUAGUGAGUACUAGUAAGCAGUAACAUACUAACAUGGAGCAAUUCAAAGGGCAGCCUCGGCUUCCGAAAUUCGCCUUGCCGAAACGGUACGACUUAAGGCUGAAGCCAGACCUCAAAGCUUGCAAAUUCAGCGGCUCCGUCGCCAUUCUCGUCGACAUCGUCUCCGAGACCCGGUUCAUCGUCCUCAACGCUGCCGAGCUCUCCGUCAAUGCCGUUUCCGUCUCUUUCACUCACACAGAUUCCUCCAAUGUGUAUUAUAUACUACUGAUCUCAUCUGAUCAUCCAUGCAAUUAACUAGGAUGCCUAAUUUGAAAGCAGACACUCCUCGAUUAAUUGUUUUAAUUUCCUUUAAGUGCUCCUGCUGUUCUGUUCAUGCUUUCAAAUAAUUAAUAACUGGAUGGAUUGAUUAUAUAAAUUCAAGUUAUGAAGCACCGAUCAAUUUAUUCAAUCCUGAAUCGAGGAAACACCAAAACACAUAUAUAUGUACUCUCCGUCUCCGAUACGACCACCCGAAACGAGAGUGUUUUUUACCCUACACAUUAAACUUUGAAGUGAGGGUUGCGUUCAGGCUUCUAUGGAUCCACAUGCUAAAGUAUUGCUGACGGAGGUGGAAAUUUUAUUAGAGCUCAAGAAUUUAUCGGGGUUUACUGCUUGUUAGGAUUUCUACUUGUUGGGAUAGGAAACAGGUGGAAUGACGGAAAAGAGAGAGAACAGUUUAGUGGGUGACUUUUGAAUUCUUUAUCUUUAUCCAAAAAUUAGUUUUACAUUUUUAAAUCUUUUCAAAAAUUAAAGGGCAUCAUUUAAUUUCAAGUUAACCAGGGUAUUAUACAGGACACGUGGCAAGCUCAUUAGGUGAUGGUGAGUAGAAAUGUUCCCAUUUAAUUAAUGUAAUCAUUUCAAUAUUUACUAUGUUUUAAAAUGAUUUGUUAUUAUCACUGAUUUGGUAAUAUUCUUUUUUAUUUGGAAGUGUUCGAAUCUCGUGAAUAGCAAAUUCGAUACCAAAUUAGGUUGCUCAUUGUAUGACUUAGUCGAACUCCCCCUCCCCUAGUGUAAAAAUAUCGAUGUACUAAAAAAAAAGAAUUUUUAUUGACACUCCAAAAAAUAUCAUUUGUACUCCAAAUUUUCUAUAAUUAAAAAAAAUACAUUGAAGUAUAAAAUGAGAUUUAUGGAGUGCUAAUAACAUUUUCCAUUUUAAAUAUUUUUAAGGUUAAAAAUAUAAUUUUAAUAUUUUUCAAUUGUAGCAUAAAUUUUGAGUUUUCAUGAAUGGCCGAACUCCCCUCCCAAAUCCCGGCUCCCCUAUCCUUGCUACAUUUUUUUUUUGAACAAACGAUAUUAUUUACAUUGAGGGGGAGAGGUGGGUUUAGCCUCACAAUGGGCUAGCAAUAAUGUGGUUCAAACUCACUUUUGACGAGACUCGAACCUAAGAUCUGUCACUUACAAGAGAAGAGAAGAGAAAUAUUAUUAAACCGUAAUACUAAGUGGCAUUCUUGCUACAUAUUAAGAUGCUAAUUUUUUUUUUUUAACAAACGAUAUUAUAUAUACACUAAGGGGUACGGGAGUGAGCUAAGCCUCACCCUCACAUUGGGCUAGUCAUCAAUAAUGUGGUUCAAAUUCACCUUGGCAAAAAUCGAAUAUAAAACCUAUCACUUACAAGUGAAGAGGAAUAUCACUAACCGUAAUACUAAGUGGCAUUAAGAUGCUAAUAAUAACAUUAAUUUUCAACUUUUACUGCCUUGUUUGGAGUACAAGACAAAAGUCAUUGACAUAACCGGAGGAAUUAAAGGCUUAAGUGGCUAUUGAGAUGAGAUUUUGCUUUUGGAGUUUGGGGAGACAUUCCGAUUGGAAGGGGAGUUUUGGCUAUUUUAUUUGAAGGAAUUCUGGAUGACAAGAUGCAGGGAUUCCAUAGAGUGUAAUGCUCCUUGAGUUCCGGAUUCGUUAUCCUGUUUGUUUAUCAACUUUUGAUUUUUCAAUGUGCCUAUUAUAUUUCAGUGGUAAAAUUUGAUUUAUCCUGUGCAGUAUGUAUGAGCAUAACGGUGAGAAGGAAUAUAUGGCUGCUACACAAUUUCAACCGGUUGAUCCCAGGCGGUGCUUUCCGUGUUGGGAUGAACCUGCUUGGAAGGUCGCUCUCGAUUUUUCUCUCUGAUAGUUGAAUUAGUUGAAUAAAUCUUGAUAUAUGUUUGUAUCUAGUCAUUUUGUAAAAUCAAUAUGGAUACUUUCGCACUGCUUAACCGCAGCUUUGAGUCUCAGAAGAAAGAUAGGUUUUUAUGGGAUAAGAAAUCAUUCCUUAAGUUAUUGUUAGAUUGUUUUACUAGGAUUGUUUGAAUUGACCCCAUUUAUUCUUAUCGAUUGGAACUUUGAUUGGCAGGCUACAUUUAAGAUUAGACUGGAUGACGUUCCAUCUGAAUUAAUUGCACUGACCAACAUGCCCAUUAUUGAAGAAAAAGUGGAUGGACAUCUGAAGACUGUUUUGUAUGAAGAGUCACCUAUCAUGUCGACAUACUUGGUGGCCAUUGUUGUUGAGUUGUUUGAUUACAUUGAAGAUCAUACAUCUGAUGGUAAAACUCAUACACAACAUCUCUUGUUCUGUAUUUGUUAGUAACCGUUUCUUGACAGUGUCAUAUUCCAUCUCCUCACAGGAGUCAAAGUGCGGGUAUAUUGUCAAGUUGGUAAAGCAAACCAAGGGGCGUUUGCUCUGAACUUUGCUGUCAGCGCUCUUGAAUUUUACGGAGAGUAUGUUUAUGGAUCUCAAAAUAACUCAAUGAAUCCUUUCUCUGAUUUUUGUCCCCUUCCGUGCUUAUGUUCAAUUGUUUAUCAUUUGAUAUGAAAUCAAUGACAAAAAAGUUCUACAGUUACUUUGCUGUGCCAUACCCCUUGCCAAAAUUAGAUAUGGUUGCAAUCCCUGAUUUUUUUGGCGCCAUGGAGAACUAUGGUUUAGUUACAUACCACGAAACGGUUUUGCUCUUUGAUGAACAUAACUCUUCAGCUGCCAACAAGUAAAUGGUAACAUACACAUACUGAAUGUCAAUCUUGUUUUCAUAAUUUAGCUUCAUUCUAGCUAUUGUUUUUUAACCUUAAUCAUUUCAUUUUGUUUUUGUGGAAGGUUGCAACUGUCGUGGCACAUGAAUUGGCACACCAAUGGUUUGGCAAUCUUGUGAUGAUGGAAUGGUGGACGGAUUUAUGGCUAAACAAGGCAUUUGCAUCAUGGGUAUCACUUUCUUCAUUUGUUGUACUUGUUAUUUUAUAUGCUUUUAGACUUAAAAGUUCAUGUUUUGACGUCAUUAGGUGAGCUAUUUAGUUAUAGACAUCUUGUUCCCAGAGUGGAAAAUAUGGACUCAGUUUCUUCGCAUUGAAGUUAGUGGGGGUCUUAAGUUGGACGGGCUUGAACAAUCUCAUGCCAUUGAGGUACUUCAAAUUGGACUAGGUCUUCCACAGAUUUUUUAUUCUGUCUGAAGUUUUAUUUUUCGCGGCAUAGGACCUUGAUCACCUGCAUAACAGGCUUUAAAUAGAAAUAUGCACGUAUACUUUCACAUUUGUAGUAUUUCUUGUACACCUUAUUCCCUUUUUUUCGCUAGGUGGAUAUUAAUCGUGCUUCCGAGCUUCAUGAAAUAUUUGAUGCAAUAUGUUAUGAUAAAGGAACUUCUGUUGUUAGGAUGCUACAAACCUAUCUCAGUGCCAAAUGCUUCCCGGUUGGUCUUUUGGUUUGUUAGCAAUUGUCCUUGACGACUAAACCAACAAUCUUAUUUAUGAGAUUUUUUUACAUUUAUUCCAUGGAAAUUUCCGAAAAAUAAAGGCUUCAAGGCAUGCAGGAUUAAAAGAGGAUAUAUCCUGAAAAAUGAUUAUUCUUUGAGAUUUUUGUUCACUCGUCUUCUGGUUCGUAUUGGUUAUCAAAUACGUUUCUCAUGAAAGUUACAGAGUUAACCGCCUGCUAUUUUUUCAUGCGUCCAGAGGUCACUUGCUUCGUACAUAAAAAAGUAUGCUUCAUCAAAUGCAAAGACAGAAGAUUUAUAGGCUGCCCUUUAGGAGGGAUCGGGUGAACCAGUGAACAAGCUAAUGAAUUCAUGGACACAACAAAAGGGUUACCCUGUUAUAUCUGUCGAAGUCAAAGAUCAGAAAUUGGAAUUUGAUCAGGUUUUUCCAUAUGUUGCCUUCCUUGAAAAUCUUGUUUGACUAUCAGACGAAAUUCUAAACGAACAUCUCAGAGGUCUAAUGCACUUUUUUAAAGUUUUUAAAUCGUUCGUUUAGGUUUUAUUCCAUGGUACAAAGAUCUAAUAAGUUGAUUAAUAAAUGGCAGACACAAUUCUACUUGAGUGGUUCCCAAGGCAACGGGCAAUGGAUUGUGCCAAUAAUAUAUUAUGUUGUGGCUCCUAUGAUGCACGCAAGAGCUUCUUGCUACGAAAUAAGUCUGAAACUCUUGACGCAAAGGAAGUUUUGGGUUGCUCCAUUGCAAAGACAAGAUCGAGUUGGAUAAAAGUCAAUGUGUAUCAGACUGGUUUUUACAGGGUGAAAUAUGACGAGGAACUUUUAGCUGCUCUUGGAUAUGCUAUAGAAAAUAAACACUUGUCUGCAACUGACGGAUAUGGUAAUCACGUUUUUAUGCUCACACACUUGUUUAUCUCUUCGAUAGUGAAAUUGGAAGUAUUCAGUUCAGCUUUCAUCAUUUCUUUUCCUUCAACAGGAAUUUUGGAUGACUCGUUCGCCAUUUCUACGGUUUGCUUGCAGUCUUUUGCUUCAUUGCUUACCUUGUUGGGUGCUUACAGAGAGGAACUUGACUAUAUAGUGUUGUCAAAUUUGAUCACUGUAAUGAUCACCUCUGCAUUGUGUUAAUUUUCUGGACUUAUAGCCUUAGUGUAAUUCAUGUUUUCACCUUUCACAGAUAUCUUAUAAGCUGGCAAGAAUUGCAGCUGAUGCUGUACCGGAUCUACUGGAUCUUAUUAAUCAGUUCUUUCUUAGCCUUUUUUAGUACUCUGCAGAGUAAGCUUGUUCUCUUUUUUUUUUCCCUCAACUAGCCAAGUACCUAAAAGGUCAUACCCAGUGCACAAGGCUCCCGCUUUACGCAGGGUCUGGGAAAGGUGAAUGUCGGCUAGCCUUACCCCCAUUUUAUGGAGAGGCUGCUCCCAAGUACCUAGCUAGAUAAAAAUUCUUUACGCAGACAUUGGUUCUUUAAUGAAUAAAAAUGGGUGUCCAGUUGGUACUGCCUACAAUGAUAUCGUUACAUUAUUUCAUGGCAUAUCGACAAAUUGGUAUUCAUGCAUACUGUCUAGGUAAAUACGCUUGUGUGAUGAUAAGAGGGCUGGAGCAAAAUGUUUUAACACUCCCAAACUAUCCACAAUUUUGCUUCUUUCUUUUCGUUUAUUUAUAUAUUUAAAUUUGGUUUUGUUUCCAGGAAGCUUGGCUGGGAGCCUAAACCGGGUGAGAGCCAUUUAGAUGCAAAGUUCAGAGAAGAAGUUUUAAUUGCCCUUGCUGUGUUUGGACAUGGCCCGACAAUAAACGAAGCAAGUAGGCGUUUUCAUGAAUUCUUAGAUGACAGAAAUACGCCUCUUCUUCAUCCUGACAUAAGAAAGGUUUGUUUUGUUGUAAACCAUUAAUUAAACACCUUUUAAUUCUCUGUUGAUCAUCAUUAUUAGUAACUCUUAAUUCUUGCACUGCAGGCAGUGUAUGUGGCAGUAAUGCAAAGAAUGAACAUGUCUGACAGAUGGGGCUACGAAUAUCUUCUUAGAGUUUACAGAGAGACUGAUCUGAGCGAGGAGAAAUCUCGCAUUUUAAGUAAUACUACUGAUUAAUUUGUACAAUUAAGGAUGUUGAUCCAACAUCUGAGUUUGUUAUGUCGUUGGAAUAAUAAUGUAUCUGUUUGUGCCUGUAGGAUCACUAGCAUCUUGUCCAGAUCCGAACAUAACACUGGAAGUUCUCAACUUUUUGUUGACUUCUGAGGUAUUUCUGAUUUUGUCUCUCUUAAUUGCAGGUUUAAAUUGUAAUUAGGUACCACAACAUUAGAGUAUCUCAAACCAAUUGUGAUUGACGAUACUGGGUUUAAUCCCAUCGAUUGCCAUCGAUGUAUAUAGGUACGCCAUCAGGAUGCUUCCGCUGUGCUGUCCUCAGUUAGUAGGGAAGGACGGGUAACAGCUUGGACGUGGCUGAAGGUAACUCUCAAUACCACUAGUUUCUAAUGAGCAUGCAUACUAUGAAAUGUACGUACCCACAUUCUAUGAAAUGUACGUACCCACAUUCAUGGAUUUGGUUUCUUUCCUGGUCUUGUUAAUAUGGUUCAUUUUGCCUUCGGGGAUGAUAUCCGAAACACAGGAUAAUUGGGAGCACAUCUCAAAAUGUGUUCUGGAUUUCUAAUUAUUCAGAUUGUCAGUGAAAUUGUUUCACCGGUUCGUUCUCUCUCUCUCUCACUCUCUCUAAACUUUUAAUUGUUCUCGUAUCUGGGGCCUUGUAUCCUUGUGUAAUUACCUUCCUUGCUACGCAGCUAGCGUCAUUUGAGAAGGUUAAAGAUGUAGAUGAGUUCUUCAAAGUCCAUCGUAUCCCCUCGAUAACUAGAACCUUGAAGCAGAGCGUUGAGCGGGUGUGUUGAGGAAAACUGAGAGUACACUGAGGAUCUAACUCAGAAAUUUCACUGUAAAUAGACUUUACCUUGUGGAAAUAUUCGGCAAUCGUCAUGUCUUGUUGGGCCACUGAUAACAACUCGUUCUCAAGGAACUGGAGUCUUGUAUCGUUCCUCUUUGAAAAGAGUGUGGCGAAGGUAUCCCACGCUUUUUUCGGUGUCUUAGCCUUCCGUAUGUGCUCCAACAUGUCAUCCUCGACUACGGUUUUUAGGGCGAACAUGGCUUUUCCUGCCUUGAUCUUCCACUUUUGCAGAGCGCCGUUGGUGUCUUAUUCCGGCUGCGUAACUUCAUUACCGUCGACGACAUCCCAAAGAUCUUGGCCUUGUAGGUAAGACUCCAUACACGUCGCCCAUGUGUUGUAAUUGUUGUUGUUCAACUUUUUUUAUUCCUCCAACAACUUGAAGAUCUCCCAUCGUGUCGGCAGAACUUCGAUAAGCCGAACAAAACUAGUCAACAAUCUUGCGAAGUACUAAACUUCUCACGAUUCUAAAAUGCUUCACUAGAGACGGUCUCUAAUCGUACCGCUCUGAUACCAAUUAUUGAGGAAAACUCAGAAUACAUAACUCUAACACAAGUGUUGAAAAGACAACACAAGUAAACAAAUUACUUGUAUUAUACACACAAAAUAUUACAACACUCACAAAGACAACUUUAAAAGCAAUGACACUCACUUGUUUUUUAGAGACACACUUUAAAUCACUCACACUCCUACAAAACUAUUCUUACUUCUUCUUGAUUGGUUCUUUCUUGAUUGAUUGGUUACAUAGCACCACACCCAUAUUUAUAGGCAUGUUUGCCGACCUCACUAGCACUUUCUAGUGCAUAUUCAUGCACACACUGCACCGACAUACAAGCCCUUCUUAAUUGCCGACUUUAUUACUUGGCUAAGAAUGCCCAUCUAGAUUAUUCUUUAGUGUUUUAGAUUACUCUAGAAUUUGGUUUGUUAACCAACUUCUUAUUCUAGAGUUAUGUAGGAAUUUCUUCACAAAUAAACUAGGCUUAAUUAAAUAUGGGCCUUUUGGGCUGGUGUUGAUUCUUCAACAGGGUGCGAAUCAAUGCCAAGUGGGUUCAGAGUGUUAAGGGUGAGAAAGAUCUUGCCGAUGUUUUGAAGGAGUUGGCAUACAGGAAAUACUAGCUUUGAUAGAAAAAAUGGGUCUGGAUUUUCCUCGGUUAUUAUGCAAGUUACAUAUUUUCCAAAAGAAGAAUAAUGGGACAUGGAUAAAUAUAAAUGCACUGUCAAAUUAUAAUACUAUAUUUUCGAGACACAUAGUUUUUUAUCUAUUUCAUAGAGGGACAAAACUUAUCCAUAUGGCAGGUGAUGUCAUGGUUGCUUUUUUAAUUGUCGUAUUUGCAUUAUUAGAGUUACUAAACUAGACAGCUAUAUCGGCCAAUCGAUAUGCUGACCUCACUCGGAGUGCGUUGGUGUGAAAGUUGAGAAUGCAAACCCUACGUGCUAUAACCGAGAGAACUAAAAAAUCGAAUGAAACAAGUGACUUGCAUGUGAAGAAAGUGACAUAUUAGGGUUUAGGUGUCGAAGGGGAUGCAUGCUUAUGAAAGGGACUGCAAGUUUUGCACAUAAUUAAUCCCAAAAAUUGGUGCGUUAGUUCAAAUUACGGUUAAACUUUCCACGUCCGAAGAAAUAUUUAAGCAGUGUCGACAGAGGUGAAAAAAGGAGUGCCUGGAGUGAAGAUGAGUAUCAUUUCCUUUGUCGUCGUCUUUGAGGAAUUCAGGUGGGCAGGGGAGAGAUCCGUCAACACAAGCAAUCAAACGGUGGCUCUUCAAAACUAGAACGAUCUCAGGAAGCAGAAAGGAAGACGGUCAGCAGCAGGAGGAUUGGUAGAAAUGGUUGACGCGGUGGGACACGCUUGCAAGGGUAAGCAGGAUCGGAAAAAAAGACGGUGUGAAAGAGGCGUAGGCAGAGAAGACGACUGAAGUGAACGGCCUCGAUAACUCAUCAGAGGCAUAAGGUGUGUAUUAUAUUAUCAUGCUGUACAAUGAAUACAUUUGAUACAUGUGAUAUAUUGAGUUGAUGAGAUACAUUUGUACAAUCGAAGACUAAAAACAUCUGAUACAAUGAAUGAUGAUUCUAUCGUUUUAACACCUGGCAGGUGACGAAAGAAUUGUUUGUCAUAAGCUCGACUACAAGUACGCUGUCUCUGGAAAGUGAUGACAACAUGAACAAUAAAGCUAGCAGUUUUCAAUGUGCAGAGACAUCGAAAUGGAACCCAAAGCACGCUGUCUUCAGAUUUCUCAAAGUUCAGCCACGAACCAUUGCCAUCUGCCAUUUUCUUUUCGAGGACACUAUUGGUCUGGUUCAAGAAAUCAGGAGCUUACUAUCCUUGAACCCGUCAGUUCUACCUGGUCACUUAGCAUAGUGUUUCUAUUCCAGGUGGUUCUUCUGUGCUCACUACAUUCAGCAACAGAUGACAUUCUCAGAACUGAACAUUUUGGACAGCCCCAACCUUGAUCACUACGUUAUGAAAACCAGUGCAUUAUCACAUAGUGCAUCAUAAAACUUUGCAUACAAAAGCUUGAAGCAUAGCCGCCCGUAGACCACUUUUGGAUGCUAUUUUUCCUUGGAACAUACUGAGAGAGGAUCUCACAAGUUCAUAAACCUGAGCGACCGCUCUGCAAAUUUUCUUCAAGAACUUCUAGAUGAUGUGAGCCGAUGGCGGACAUAAUUGCAAAAUUGAACUUUGACUGACAUGCUCAUAAGUCACAGUGCAGUCCAGCAUCUUUCCAAGGAAAGCAUCGGUUAGCCAGAAUACAUAGUGAAUUUCCCUGUGUAUUAUAUAUAUCAUCAGAACAUGUAAAAAAAAAAUAAGAGCUGCAAAAUGACUAGAAAACAUGCCGUAGAACAUUUCUUUUGACAACAAGAAGUACAUAGAUUGGUAGUAAGGCCAUCACUCACAGCCAUCCAAUGCAAGAAAGUUUUGCUUUUUCAGAUCAACAGCAAGAACACACCUUGGUAAAUCUAUGAUUCAGGCACAACAGCUUUACCUUUAUAUUAGUCGCCCUGAAAAGGUUGCAAGGAACCCCACGAUCUUCCAACUUUCAGUUUGACAUGCAACGGAACUGGACAACGAGUACUUAAAUUAGGUACAGCAAACAAAUGUCCUCAAAUUAUCGAGCAUUAAGCAAUGUUCCAGAAACUUUAGAAAUAUACCACGAAGCGAAAUAGCAUUUUCCAUGCUCCUCUGUAGCAGCAAAGCAGCCUCCUUUAUCACAACAGGAUCAACUUCCAGUACUAAUUCAUCAUGCACCUGGUUAGAAACAACCAACAAACAUUGUUACAUGAGUUGCCUUGUAAAUGAAGCAAAAUUAUAUUUAAUUAACAAAGCUAACAAGAUGCUAAAUAUUUUAGUUUCUUAAUAUCUUCCUCUACAUUUCGAAUUGACCAAAGAACAUAAAAUUAUAGAAUUGUAAACAGAAUUUCCAAAACCAACCUGUAAUAAAAUUCGGCAGCGGCCCUUCAGUACGUGUAACUUUGUUGCAGGGUGAGAAGAAGAAUCAGGCCUUUCAACACCUUCAACUAUCACGGAAUAUAUAUAUUUAUCACUGCAAUCUUAAUUAUGUCAGCAGCAGAUCCCUGUAAAAGGAAGACAUCAGAGAAAAAUACUACACUUCAGUGAUUACCUUUAAACACCCACACUCCUCAUCCCCACAGAAGGGAGGGAAAAAGUCAUACCUGACUGACAUAUAGAAUUCACAGCUUCUCUGAGCCUUUGACUUUUCUUUACUAUUCCCAAGUUUUAUUUUUGACAAAAAGCGCUUUCUUCCCUUAGGGUUUUGAUAAGUAUUUAUCAAAUAUAGCCAAAAAUGAAUCCUUAAUUUCAAAAAUGUCAUUUUUUAUAAAAAAAUUUCAAAUGUAUCCAAAAUUCCACUUAAAUAGACGCAAAUACCCUCAAAUUUAACAAUCAAAUAAAUUAAAGGUUUUUUAGCCAAAAUGAUUCGUGACAUUGACAUAACUCAUUAAUAUGGUCCUUAACAAUUAAUGAUAAUCAAUAGUAGUGUUCUUGAAUUUGUUAUCAGUAAUCAUUUUAGUCUUUCUUUGAAUUUAUCCAUUGUGAUCAUUUUAGUUUUUUCGUGAAAAAUCUAUCAAUUACUCUGUUAGCGUGAUGAUGUGGCACCAUGUGGGUUUCACAAAUACAAUCAUAUAACGACAUGUGGAUUAACUUUAAAAACUAUUUUUUUAUAUUUAAAACUAAAAAUGAUAUUAGUAAGAAAAAAGACGUUGACGGCAUGAUUGAAAUUCUACUACUCGCACUUGCGGUAACCGCAGUGGGGCUCAAUGUCAGUGAUGAGGGGUCGAAGGGGAUAGGGUUGUGGUGGAGUGUAGAAGCGAAGGUGAAAUUGGACCGAAGCUUGAGGCAACAGUAGCUAAAACGCCUUUAAUUUAUUUAAUUGUUAAAUUUGAGGGUAUUUGUGUCUAUUUAAAUGAAAUUUUGGAUAUAUUUGAAAGUUUUUAUAAAAAGUGACAUUUUUGAAAUUAAGAGUUAAUUUUUGGCUAUAUUUGAUAAAUAAUGCACAUAAUGAACAGUUGAAUAGCUUCAAAGAAAUGUUUACAGCAUUGUAUUACAAGGGAACUAACAGACUCUUCUGGAAUCCCAGUCCAUCUAGCCGCUAUCAUGGUGAAGACAUCACCAUGGGAUUACUAAGGAGUUCAAUGAGUGCAGAGUCUUUAGAGAAUGUGCCAUCAGCCGCAAUUCUAUCUGAGAAUAAUCUGCAGUUACAACAAUAAAACAAUUAACGUACACCAUAGAGUCAUAAAUCCCAUCCCCUUCUCCUAGUUAAUAUCCCACAAAAAAUUUCCUAGUCUGAAUAUAUGACAAUUCUGUACCAACCCUCCCCCACAUCCUCAUCUACUCGAGAAUUUUGUUGACUUUUAUGGUAUAAAUAUAAUAAUUGUUAAAGUUCUUUGAAUUAGCUGGGUUUCUAUGCAAGUAAGAAAUCUGAGAGAAUAGAGAAAGAUGCAAUAUGAAGAAAUGCUCUGCUCACUCUCAAAGUCUGAGAGGUGAUAUUUUCAUAUAUAUCUCACAGAACACACGCACUAAGGCAUAAGUACAUAACUGCUAGCCUUAGCUGGAUACACACAACCAACAAUACAAUCUCAGCCUUACACUUGUCAUAAUCUAAGACUAAGUGAAUAUACAAUUCAAAACAAGGCUUAUUUACUUUAACUUUACUUAGCUCACAGCUUAUACACUAAUAAUAAUAACACACAAAUGGCCUUCAAAUACAAGAGCAAGCUGAUCGUUACCUGAGUAGGAAUGAAGUAAUCGCGAGCAUUGAUGUUCAAUUGAUCAACAUCAGUUUCGUUUCCAUUUCCAUCCUUAUAUAUUUUAAAGUCAACCAUAUGUUCAACACACUGCAUAAAUCAAAAAGAACAAAAUGUGAUAAGAUAGUAAUGAUUAAAUUUUGUUAACGACUGAAGGAGAGGGAAGAGAGAAUAAAACGACGCAUGGGAAACCCAAACCUGGCGAUUUGGUUCCUCCAUUAAAGGCGACCAGUUGCUGUUGAUGUUUGGAGCCAAUGACCAUGUAAUGUGUACUAAUUCUGUGUCCUCACAGAGCCUACCCAGUGAACAAAUUGAUACCAAUGUACAGUUUAAAAGUUUUGCCAACGUACGAUGCUCCUUAAUGACGGGAAUUAUGGGAUGCUCAUCCCUGAAAUGAAAUCGAUUAUAGGAUGCUCAUCCAUCAAAACAAUGAGAGGCUGAUGCCACAAAAUCAAGAGAUUCAAAUGUGCAAGCAAGAAUACUUUAAUACCAUCUCCUUCAAGUGUUCAAUAUUCAAACAAAACAAUCUAAAUGGGAUGGAAGCCUCUAUGGAAUCAAAUAACUAAAUGGUAAUCCUAUUCGCUUGAGUAUUUAUAUUUCAACAGCUUAUUCACACCUGAGAGGGGGUAAGGUUACGAAGUACGAUAGAAGAAUAGAAGUCUCGCUAAUACCUUAAUAAAUCCAAGCAGUGCUUGUCCGUACUUGGGUGUUGUUUCCCCUUGUUGCGGCCCUCUGGUAUGGGCAGCUUUUAAGUGUGUUGUGAUUGACUCAUAUUUUGAGCUGACAACAAUGAAGUGACCUGUGUUUUUUUGGUGGAAAUAUCACAUGAUGUGGGCUGCAUGAAAGUUGCAGACAAGUGCUGCAAAGUAAAAGCAAAAGUGGACAACAAGCCAAAUGUUUUUCGGCUAAUAAACUAAACAAAGAAAAGUUGUGUUGUGAUUGACUCAUAUUUUGAGCUGUCAACAAUGAAGUGACCUGUGUUUUUUGGUGGAAAUAUCACAUGAUGUGGGCUGCAUGAAAGUUGCAGACAAGUGCUGCAAAGUAAAAGCAAAAGUGGACAACAAGCCAAAUGUUUUUCGGCUAAUAAACUAAACAAAGAAAAGUUUGGUGCACAUCAUCAUGAGUAAAGACACAAUGAUAAUGCUUGUAAGAAAAUAGAAAAAAGUGGUUGCUUUUAGUUUAAUGAUUAUGAAGAAAUGUGAUGAUGGAUUGGCCUUUAUUUAAUGCAAGGAAAUGCUUGCUUUAUGUGUGCUUGCCGAGAGAGAAGGUUUGCAUCAGAAAAGCAUCCAAGGUGGAGAAAGCAUUUGGUUCUCCCAUGGGAAAGGUUAAACAUGGGUUGAGAGAAAAUCAAGAGAGCUAGAGUGAAAAGUAUUAUAGUGAAAGAACUCUUGGGUAGAGUGAGGCUCUUGGGAAAAUGCUAUGAGUGGGUGUGCAAGGGAUUUGGGAUUGAGUUAUGUUGAUUUAACUCAUGUGUACUUGUACUGUUAUUCAUAGUGAAGAGCAAUAUCUCUUCGGGGACGUAAGCAUGUUUUUGCCGAACCUCGUAAAUUUUUAGGUGUCUUUAUUUCUUGUAUUUUAUUUUGUUCAACUGAGUGUGAUUUGGUGAGGUUGUAAUCUGAAUCUCGUUUCCGCACUAACGAACACGCCAAGGCACAACAAAGUGUCCAUACAUAGAUUAGCAAAUCUGGUGCCGUAGAUAACGAAAAUUUCAUGCCAGCCAACUUAUAGGCUUCCUUCUCAAGCUGCCCUAGCUUUUUUCCUAACACCUUGCGUGCUUGUAAGCAUCCCUCCAUGUCAAGACCCACUCCCCAGAGCUCCAUGUCGGCAAGAAUAUUAACCUAGCAUACAAAUAAGCAAUAAGCUAUUGUCGAAGUGGUUGGGUUGGGUACUGGUUCUCAAGCACCCAACUAAACAGUGGUCAUGCAUUUAAAUCCAAAACAAACAAUAGCAAUAAUGUAAACCUCAAAUAAAAUGAAGCUCCCUCAAAAAAAUUAAGUCAGAUGCUAUGAAAGUAACUUACCAAUGGGAAUUCAAAAUCUAGGAGGGCUUCAGUGAGGUCUUCAGCAACAAUUAACUUCCAAAGAACAGAACAUAAGGCUCAUAUUUUUGCAGCCCGAUGGUAGCAACCGUUAUGUGCAGCUCUUCGCAUCUGAUUCUUCCACCUGCCAUUCCGAUUAGCAGCUGAUGCAGCUUCACUAGAUAACCUUUUCUUAACUUCCUAUAAAUCGUUCUAAAAUCUUCAAAUGCAAAUUCAGUAACGAUGAACAUGUAAAUAUUGAAUGAAAGAAUUAUAGUUAAACACUUCUGCCUUUAAGAAAUGCUUUGAUUGAAAUGAUGAAGUUUCUUUUUUGGGAGUUUUAACAAAAUACUCCUGGUACUGUUCACUUUUAAUGAAAAACCAUAUUUAUACAUUUCCCUGGUAUUAUUCACUAUAUCUUUAAAAAGAAUUUUCAUUAAAAAAGAAGUUUUUUUGGAUUUUUCGUUAAUUUUCCUUUAUAUGAACCGGAGGCAACAGGAGAGUUUUCCCAACAGAUGGCUAUGCCAUGUAUUUCAAAGGGCGCAACAGAAUUCAAUUCCGAUCGUUUGUUGUAGUGAAUAUCAAAAUAGAACUCUCAGAUGGAUCCCCAGAGAUCCAAGAAGGAAUCAAAACCGCCAAGAGUUUUAACUCCAUGAAUAGGGCCUUUCCCACAAGCAUUGCUUUUAUAGCUAGAGGACAAAUUCUCCCUUUUGUAGCGUUUCUGUUUUUCAAGAGCAAGAGAGUCAUCAGAUGCCCUAGUUCUAUCAAUUAAGCUUUAUAACUCAACCCGGUCAGUCAAAUCAGUACUUUUCGUUUAAUCCAUCGCAGCAGUAAGAUAAUCCAGCCCUCGAAGAUGUACUUUAGAAUUGUCAGCACUAGACUUAAUUUGCAUGACACCAGUUCACUUUACUUCUGCAGCCUUUUCAGAAUGAACCCUACCUUCCAAAGAUGCUUUAGCAGCGUACUCUGUGCUGCGCUCUACAUUAGGGAAGCUACUAGUGGAGUUAUCACCAGAGGAAUUUCCUUCUCCUUGCAUACUGGGACUUCCACCACCAGUUAAAAAUACCGGUCCAGAAAACCGUGGGACAUACAUGUUGGUGGAUAGUCGCCAAAUUAGUGGCCAACUUGGCAUUCACUUUCGGCUAGAAAAUUAAACAAAGAAAAGUUUGGUGGACAUCAUCAUGAGUAAAGACACAAUGAUUAUAUUUGUUGAAAAAAAAAAGGAAGGUCACGAUGAUGUUUGUAAAGGAAUGAUUAUUCCUUUACUUUGGAUUUUUUUUAUUAAAUGCUUUUGUAUGGAUAAAGGUUUUCAGCCGAAUGAGGGAGGGAAGGGGGGAGCGGCAGAUGAGAGAAACCAGGGAGAGCAUUCGGCUCUCCCAUUUGAAUAUGAGCUGCUCCUUCCCACCAUUUGUAAUAAUCUCAUUUUGUUAGUAAUCACUCAAUCAAAGAUGUUGGUGCUACUUGUUGUGUUUGGUUCAUACAUUUGUGAGUAAUUAUGAGUCAUGUGUUAACAACAAUGAAGUGACUUGUGUUUGCUUUCGGUGGAAAUAUCACAUGGUGUGGGUUGCAUGAAAGUUGCGUGCUGCAAAGUAAAAGUAAAAGUUUGGUGGACAUCAUCAUGAGUAAAGACAUAAUGAUAUGCUUGCUUUUGCUUUAAUGAUGAUGUUUGUUUUUUGCUUUAAUGAUGAUGCAAGACACAAUGAUGAUGACUAUGAUGGCUAUGAUGCAAGAACUAUUUUGUGCGCACCAUUCUUGAUCUUCUUUGCUACGCCUACUUGGAUGCGCCUUUGAGCUGAACCUUCUGCAGUCAUAGUAUCAUCUUACCAAUAUUAGGAAAGAAUGCAGGAAAAAUACGCAAUAAAAUCAAAAUAACUUUAAGAAAUAGUAAAAUAAGUUAUAAAAGAAAAGUGGGCAAAAACUCAUCUUCAUAAAAUAAAGUACAUAAACUAUAGAGCUAGAACCAUCCAUAUGAACAAAUAUUAUCACAAUCCCGCUGGCAAACAAGCAUAUGAAACAAAUGCAUCUGAGCAAACUUACAUGCAUUUAGAAAGCUAAUUGUUGUACAAUACUUGACUGGAAAGAGUACCGUUGUGCAUUUCAUUGAAAGACCAGAAAGAGAUUCGCGUUCAGAAAAAGGUCUUGGAAUUAGUUAUCACACACUAAAAUUUUCCUUCUUAGGCAGAAUUCUUUUCUGUAGUUACUGGUUUGUAAUGUUACAUAAACUCAAUUCCUUUUUUAAAGGUCAAAGAGAAUGCAUGGAGUAAGCUAAGAAACACACUUCGGGUUUUCAGAAUGUCUCCAAAGCAAAGAAAUGCUAAGAACUAAGCUAAGAAACAAUUAUUUCUUAAUAGUCCUGGUAACCAUCACAAAUCAAACAUAGUUUAGAAGAACAUGAUCUUAUCAGGACAUCAGAUGAUAUUAAGAUAUCAUUUACCAGGAACUUAUCACAGGAAACUGAGAAGCCGUGUACUAAAAUUAGAAUCUUAUAUGCAUCACCUUGUUCGUUCCAUGAUGAAAAUUCAAAAAGAGCUUUGACUAUUUCAGGGAUGGACGCUUCAGCAAUUGCUAAAGGAGUACGCAAGCCAGCUUUAUAGAGUGCCCUCGCUCGAGAACCCUACAGAUCAGCACAUACCAUUUACAAAUAAAUAAAUAAACAUUACUGUUGAGCAUAUGUCAGGUAUCAAAAGGAGGUUACGAAUGUGACUGUAGUUCACAUACCUUGAUAUAUGGAAUUGUAGUAAGCUCUACAAUCUCUGCUCUCACUCCAAAUGAAACACGAUUUUGAAACUUGCAAACCAAGCCCUCUAAAUCAUGCCAUCCACGCCUCUCACAAACACAUGGUUAACCAUCGAUGCAAACCUUUCUCUUGUAAGGCCUGCACCAUACCUCUAGCCAUUUUGAAAGCUUCACGUACUCAGUGAUAGCAGCUUCCUUCACCACAUAUUGAAGAGUUCACAUUUAGCAAGGCAGAAGUCAACAAAUCUCACAAUAUCCCAUAAAUAAAUAAAUCUAAACUGAUAGAUACUUUUUUUUUUUUUUAGAAACUUCGACGGUACAAGGUAAUUUUAUUGAUAACAAAAAAAUAAGUUACACCUAGUUUGUGGAGACAUAAACCUUACCCCUAAAAAACAGAGACAACAAAAAGGAAUACACAAAAAAAAAGAGGGAACCUAAACCUUACCCUUCUAGAAACAAAAAACGAGAAUGAUACAAAGAAAAAGGAGGGGGGACAUAAACCUUAUCAUUCUAAAAAAAAAAAACAAGAAUGAUACAAAGGAAAAGGGGGGACAUGAAACCUAACCCCUCUAGAAUCAAACCUAAAGGUCUAAACUUGCAAAAUAAGUCAAAUGACAUCAUAAAGUUAGGAGAAAACAAGAAAGUGAGACAAAUCUGGAUGCCGACAUGCACAUUAAUUUGAGAAGUGGUAAUCAGACAAGUCAACAUAGUCUGAAAACAUAGUAGCACGAACAACUAUCGAAGGAGAAUCAUGCCAUGUAAAACUGAUGGAUACUCGAAAAAGAAAAAGAGCAAAAAUUUAAAUUACAAGACGAAAGGAACAAAAUGUAUGUCACCUCCCAUGUGCGUGUGUAUAGAUGGUUGAUUUCGUCAUAUCGAGUUCAUUGAAGAGGUGAAGUCAAAGUUGAUUUGAUGCUUCAAUUAUAUUGUUUUCAUUUCGAUUCAGGUGAAUAAGUAGAAAGUUUAUAUAAAAAUAAUAUUAUUUACUCUAAUUCUAUAAAGUUUAGUAAGCAGUUCUAAUGUGAAAAUCCAAUUAUGAUUUUUCUACUUUCUUUUCUUUCAUUUUACUUACAAAUUAGUAAACGAGCUAUAAUAAGAAUAUCACCAAGAGAGACUUUAUCCUCUAUAAAGAUACUAUAUUUUAAGCCUUAAUGAGAAAUGAGGAGAAAAAAUGUGUGUGAUUAAUAUUUAUCGUUUAACAUGUUGAAAUUAAGUAUGCCACAUAUAAACAACCGAGCUUUAUCGUCCUUACUUGAACAACUAAACAGUAUUCCACGAUUUCUUUCGCUCAAAGUAAAGCAUAUAUGCCCCUAAUAGAAUCCACAUUUUUGUAUUCUUAAUUAAAUUUUAAUAAGAACAUUUAAUACUACGAUCUAAUGUUAUUAUUCUUCACUUGUAAGUGAGAGUUUAUAUUCGAUUUUCACUAAAGACAAUUUUGAACCACAUUACAGCUAACCCAUUAUGAGGCUAAGCGUAUCCUCUCUCAUUUAUUUAACAAAAAAAAUUAUAUAACAAAGUUAGAAAUCAAAAUGAUUUUUUUUCUCUUAUAUUCAUUUUUAGUAAUUACAUAUGCCUUAAAAAUAAACUAAUUGACACAAAAAAAAAAACACAAUAACUGAUCAAAUCAAACAUUUCUAUAUAUAAGUGUAUUCUUCUCCAAAAAAUACAAAAGAAUGAUAGAGACAUCAAAAAACAAAUGUUUUUAUAUUAUAUAGCAUUUAAAAACAUAUGUUAGAUUAGAGGGAAUAUAGAAUAUAGAAUAUAUAGCCUCUCGCUCAAAAAAUAAAAGUAAAAUGUAAAAAAGAAAAAAGAAUUACAGAGAGACAAGUACAGUCGAGAAAUUCUAUAAAUUGGAGCGAGGAGAGUAGAGGAAGAGUCCCGCGCGGCAUCUCAGCGAGCGAUCGAUUUAGGGGUUUUCAUCAGAAACCAGAACAAGUUUACAAACAAAGCGAAUCGGCUUACAAGUUCACAAACAAAGCGAAUCGGCUUAGGGUUCGCACUCUUCCUGUUCUCUGGAGAACCAGCAUUGCAUCGAUUACUGUCUUCGGCUCUGCAGAGAGCCGCUGUAAGGUUCGAUUUUGCCCCUCUCAUUGUUUUAAUUCGUUAAAUUUUCACUCGCGAAUUGUUUCUUUGAUUGGUGGUUGUAUCUGGGUUUUAUUCGUUUGAUUUAAUUGUCAGAUUUUUUGGGUUGGUUGAAAAGUUUUGGAAUUUCAUGCAUUUGGGGAUUGUUCUAUGUGUAAUUAUCUGUGGUUUUCAUCAUUUAAUUAGUUUUUUUCCCCCUUCGGAGGUCUUCGGGAUGUAAUUUUGAUUGCUUAAAUCGGAGGCACAAGAUAGUGCAGUGUUAGUGUUCCAGGAUAUUGGGAGUCUGGGAUUCUAGGGUUUGUUUUUGUAUCAAUUGAAAGAUGUUUUAUUAAUUAAAAAAAAAGAUGUUUUAUUAAUUUAUGGAGAGAAGGUCUUGAUUUGUUAUCGAACAGUUAUUUAAGUCUUAAGAUAAGACAAAUUUAGUACUGUCCUGAAUCAGUUUCACUUCGCUUGAAUGUAUUCCUCUUUAUUCCUUUGAACUGCAGUAGUGUUUUCUGCUUAAGAUAAACCGGGAUUGGUAACCGUAGUGGAAAAAAAAAAAGAUUUUUUGGGUGUAAAUUGUUCUCGGGAAUCAUUAUCUUCUUACAUUAUUGACUGGCAAUUGUUCUAUCAAAAUAUUGGUAAUAGGUUUUUCCUACUUUUUCAGGUUAACUGUGAGUCUGCUUUUGAAGAGGCCUGGUGGGGGAAUAUGGAACAAGAUACACGGACUGAAAAGCUUGAAUUUACAUGGGGAAAGAAGAAAGGAAAGGGAGGGAAAAAUAAGGACGUUCAGUUAUGAAUCUUUUACUUUUGAUGGUGAAGAGUACACGCUGUAUGAUUGCGUUUAUCUUUACAAGGAAGAUGAACCUGAGCCUGAGAUUGGAAAGCUAAUAAAAAUAUGGGAAACUGGUGAGAAGACAAGGAAAGUUAAAGUUCUAUGGUUUUUUCGUCCUUGUGAGAUUUCAAAUUUUCUUGGAUGUGAAGAGGUACUUGAGAAUGAGUUGUUCUUGGCAUCCGGUGAUGGUGUGGGCCUUGCGAAUCUUAAUCCAUUGGUACUUACAUUUUGAUUUAUGCUCUUAACUAAUUUUAUCAUUUGUAUUUGUUAGAAAUGGAAUGAUUAAUUGAUCACGUAAAGGUGUGGUAUAUAGUUUGUUAGCCUAAAUGAAUAUAGUCUUUCUGAUUUUCAAUCAAUAAUGAUGCAGGAACUUUCCAUACUAUAUAUCUUUGCAAUGCUAUUGUUUCUUUUCUUCGUUCUGCUGCCAAGUUUGUCUUCAAUUUUUCACUUCAUUUUUCACCGAGUUGACUAAACCGUGCAGUUUCUUUUAUAGAUUGGUUGACGUGUUUGAAUAUAAUUUACAACAAAUUCUACUUCUCUGAUAUAGUAGGACCGUGAAACAUUGUUAAGCUUCUUAGUGUUCUAUUUUUUAUAUUUCUUAAAAGACUCUAAUUGGCAAUCCUUACAACUUUGAUUUCCAGCAAUACAAUAAGAUUUGCAUUCCCCUUGUGAUGACAUAAAUUGUGUCAGAUUACAUGUUGCCCCUCUCUCUCUCCCAGAUUACAUGUUGCCCCUCUCUCUCACACACACACAAUUACAAAUACAUGCUAAGGCUGAACUUGGGUUUUGAACUUUUGGUAGUAUUUGAUAGAUGUUAUAUCCCUAAUAGACAUGGUAAUAUUACAAGUGAGAAAUGGUUUCAAUUGGUAACUACAACAACAACAACAACAAAGCCUUUUCCCACUAAGUGGUUUCAAUUGGUAACUGAUUGUAAAUAUUCUUGCGCUAAAUGAAACUAAGCACUUAGAAAAAUAUAUUAUGUGCAUGUCUUGGUUAGUAGGAAUUGUAUUUAGACUUUAUAAUAUGAUAGCAUUGUAGCACAAUCUUAACAAGUUAAGAUGUGGACCAACGGUUAUGUUAUGUUCUAACACUGCCCCCCAAUCUUGGGACUCUCUUUAUCACAAGAGUUCAUUUGUGGAUUUCAAGCUUUGUUGGAAGGUACAAUUGCAGAGACUUCAACAUUGAAUUCUCAUGCUUUGAUACCAUAAUAAAAUUUUAUGUUGUUAAGAUAUAAAUCGACAAUUAUUUCAUAUUCUACUAUUAAAGAUCAAUGGUCUAGUUGCUGAAGUUUUAUAAUCAAAUCAGGAAGCCAUUGCUGGAAAAUGCAAUGUUCUUUGCAUUUCAAAAGACAAGGAAAAUCCUCAACCAUCAGAUGAAGAGCUUCAAAUGGCCGAAUUUGUGUUUCGUCGAACCUUUGAUGUUGGGCUGCAAAAAAUCACUGACAAGAUAGAGGGAGCAAUUGCUGGGAUUGAUGGUAUGUAUAUCUAUCAACUCGGACCCUUGUAGUUUGACUUAUAGUUGCAUGUUUAUUUUCAUAUUUUGAGUCUUAUAUCUUUGUUUAUGUAAUUGUUGCAGUUAAAUUCAUGUUUAACAGAAGGGAUAUUCAGAAGCCUGGUGGCGUUCUGAAAGUUGAUUUAGGAAAAAAUGAAGUUUGUGGGAAUUCCAUAGCAAGUAAUGAAACAGUGGUUCUAUCAAACAAAAAUUCAUUUAAAGAAAAUAUCACUUUAGAGACAAAUGGAAAUAUUGUUGAUUCGUCAACACUAGAAAAGGGUGAUUUGGUUAAGCAUAAACCAUCACUUGUAGAAAAACCUGCUUAUGGUGUAGGUUUAAAUUCAAAUGAAAAGGAUAAAAUGAAUGAAAAACAGGAACAUGUGUCAAAUCCCAAGGUCUUGUUGAGUUCUGAAGUUAAAAGUGAUGAAGGUGAGGUUAAGUGUGGUAAAGUUCAUGCACAACAAGUUGAAGUGGAAGAAAAAGUGAUGUUCACUAAGGAUAACGUUGAUUCGGAUAAUAGGCCAACCAAGAAGGCGAAGCUUGAUAAUGGUAAAGGUAGUGAGCAAAUACUUGCGAAGGUAGAAAGAAAGAAAAAAUGUACCAAUGUUUGUGAUUCGAAGGCGAAGAAUGACACUUCAAUUGAAGUGGUCAAUGACAAAAAGAAUAGUAGUGACCUGAGUUGUAUGAAUGUUACAAAGGUUGUAUCCCCAAAUGUUCCUGUUGAAGUGGAUCAUGGACAAUCUAAAAAGCCGAAGCUUGAAUCUUCGAUUGAAGUGCCCAAUGACAAAAGCAAAAGUAGUGACCUAAAGCAUGUGAAUGCUACAAAAGUUUUAUCAUCGUCUACCUCUGCUCUUGAUGAUAAAUCCAAACUUAAGCGUGCAAAGGAUUCUCUUGGAACAAACAAUGCCCUUCUCAAGAAGAUGAAGCUUGAUGACAAGGCAAUGACCAUUUCCGAAGGCAACAAUGGUAAGUUGCCUAAAGCAUCUCAACGUAAAGUCAAACAUGUAGAGGAUUCUCGUGGAGCAAAUGAAGAGUCUUGCAAGAAGAUAAAGCUCGAUGAGAAAGCCAUGGCACCUUGUGAUGGCAAGUUGCCUAAAGUACCUCCUACACAAUCUCAAAGUAUGGCCGAAAAGGUUGAUGGCCAAGAAGUUACUCGACGUCCCGAUGUUGUAAGUAAUGCCAUUCUUUCCUCUUUUCAUUCUAGUCCAAAUGAUUCCCUUAUUGAGAGUGUGAGUUGUCGUUAUUCCCCACAUUAAGUCGAAUAUUGGUGUCAUUUCUAGCAUGUUUUUUUCUUUGGGUCUUACAAAUACCAUGCAUUGUUUUAUAUGGUGGAGUGUCCAUAUAUCCUAUCUCUCAUGGUUGAGGGUUUUUCCAAUGCAAAACUUUGGCGACUCCCUAGGUUGUCAUAAUUGGAACUACUUUUAGCGUUGAUUUUGGAACGUUAAAUACUUUGGAGAAGGUUGAUAGUUAUGUUUUCGCAAUUGCAUAUCCUUGGAGAUGCUCUAAUUAUGUAGAGGUAGGAUGUUGGAGUUAAGGCUUUUGUAGUUAAGGCACAAAUUGGCACUUGAUUGUAGCAUUCGAUAAUUGAGUUCUACUCAAAGAAUUGGCACUCAUUCAUUGUACACCUGUGGCGAGUUGACUCUCGUUUGUACUUAAUUGUGGUGUGGACAUUGUGUGUCAUGUGCUACACAAGAAUUGCUUCAUGGCUUGCCAAAAUUGGUUUUUUUUCUAAAUGAAUAAUGUCAAGGCUAUCACAAACUACCAAAGUUUUCAAGGAAUAUUCAAAUCAUCAACCAAACUUCAAAUUUGCAGUGCUUCUUUCAUGACUUGACAAUGUUUCUUCAUCAAAUUGUCCAUUCGCGUCAAUUGUUUUUCAUGUUCUUGCCAUGCAGAAUUAUGGUAAAUUUUGAAACUUAUGGAGUUCAAAUAUAUAAAGUUGAACCAUUCCCAAAUGUUGUGUGCGAGUUCAUGUCAUGAAUUAUUUCGCUAGUAGUUAUAGUAAUGGCAACAAUGUUCCACUAUUUUAUUUGUAGUUAAGGUAUCUCCCUUGUUCUCAUCGUUGCUAAAUUUGAUUAGUGUCCACGUGGUGAAACCCUUAUUGGGUUGAAAGUAGUUUUUACUUGUUUCCUUCUUCAUUGUGCUCCUUUCAUUUAGAACACUAAGAGUGCGUUUGUUGCAUCGACUAAAUCGGACUAGACUAGCUUCAUGGAUUUAGCCGGACUGACUUAGAAUAGACUAAGCUGGACUGACUUAGUUAAGUGUUGGGUGCAGGAUAAUUAUACAAACUCUAAUAUUAUAUUAUUUAAUCCAUAUCUAUUAGUAUUUUGAUAUUAAUUCUAUCUUUUUCUUUUUUAUAGAAACCUCUUCCUCUCUCUUUAAACCUUUCCCUCUUUUUCUUUGUGCCAUUCUCUCUCUCCCUUCUUCCUCCUUUUCUCCCUCCAACUCAAGAAGUUGGAGAGCUCUAGAAGGCACGACAAAUCAAAUCCCUCCAAUCCCAUUUGAAACUCGAAUCGAAUCCCUCUGGAAGUUGGAAGAUCAAGAUGAAAAACCCAGAAGUCAAGACGAAAGCUAAGCUCGAUCAUUUACUUGUUGGAUCCCAUUUGAAACCCAGAUCCAAUCCCUCAAAAUCAUGGCCUCCUCCUACCCGAGCACCACCGCACCCUUUUCUUAGGCAACUCCCACAACCACCUAACGAGAACAACCAAUCCUCAUCGCCUUUGUUCGAAUGGGUUCGAAUUCAGAAGCCAUUGAUGCCCUUUUGCAGCAGAAGCUCUUAAGUGGCGGGGACGACGAGGCACUCAAGAUCAUGCGCAGCCUUUCACCACUGAGUGGAAGUUCAUGAUGGAGAGGAUUCUCGUUGAAAUGGGUGAAAACGAUGGGGACAAUGAACACGUAUUGCUAAUCCCAACUUUUCACACGGUAUUAGAGGUGAGGCGCGAAGGCUCGUCCCACUUAAUCUCAUUAAAGCUAGUCCUUUAACCAUGCCAAACAAGGAACUAGGACAAUAACUAAGCCAAUCCUAGCUAAGGAGGCCAAACAACCGGGAAGGGCUCAUUUGGAACUUCCUUUAGAAUGGAUAAAAGCAUUUUUAGAUAACCAAGGGCACUUUCUUUUUUAGGAAGCACGAUUACUCAUAAGUGAUUUUAUACUCAUUAAUCUUUUCUUAUUUUCACAUUAGAUGGUUUCAAACUGUGGACCUAACCUACUCGUGCAAGUCACCCUACGUCCACCCUCAAUACUAGGCUCAUAAGUGCUUUUAUAAGCCACAAGCAUUUUUAAGUUUUUCUACCAAGCGUUGAAGAAGUUUUUUGGUUAUCCGCAAGCGCUUUAAAGCUCACUUGGAACUACUUGUUUAGAAAGCGCUUUGGCUACAAGUGCUUAUUAAACACCAGUUGAGGGUUUGGUAGUCAGGUUUACUGUUAGUUCUUUUGUGUUAUUAAUGCCUAGUUCUUCCAAAAUGAUAACAUAAAGAUUCCCAAAAAGUUAACCUUGUAUUUAGUUCUUACAGUUGCUCAUCUUCAUUCUUGCAGGACAGAAGAACAUGGUUCAAGGGAUUUGUGAGUUGUUCAUUUUCACUUAUAUUCUUGGUUUUAAUUGUUAAUUUUGAAUCUCAAGUUUUUGUUUAUUGUUGAAUUUGAUUCUAGUGCAUUGCACCUGUAAGGCCUCAAAACUGUCUUCCACUCUAUUGCCUAGGGGCAAGGAAACAUAAUGGGGUGUUCUCAAUUUGAACCUCAAUUAGUAAUUACUUUCACCAAAAAAGUUAAAAGAGAAGUUCCUUUAAAUUGACAUUUAAUGGAUGUUUUAAUGUGGACGGUAGUGGGUGCCAUGUUGGACUGAUGAAAUGUCUUUUAUCAAUGUCAGCCUUGGGAGGAUAGAAUUCAGGCUGCACAUGAGCAAGGCACCCUUGUUCUGCUCCAGAAUUUGGAUCCAGCAUACACUUCAGCACAAGUGGAGGUAACAGUUGCAUUGGAGCUUUAGUUGCAAACACUGUUAUUACUUGGAGUAUAGAUUUUGAACUAAAUGUACUAAUGCAGUAUGUAGUUGUGUGUUUACUCGUCCAAUUUU
rnacentral:lncRNA from 1 species